UGAAGCUCACGAGGUUUGGUAGAUCAUCAAGCUGUAAGUAGGUUAAUCGAGGUAGGUGCAUCACUUUCUCUUUGUCCCUACUCACAUUUGACUCAUCUCCUUCAAACACCUGCUCUAAUUUGGAGACCCAUUUAAGGUAUAACCCAUUUAGGUUUGGAAGGCCGCCAUGAGCAAGAGUAAUGGGGAAGAGACAUUUCAAGUUUUCACAGUUAAUGAUGUUAAUCCAACUCAAUUUAGGGAAGCAAAUAGGUUGGAGAUGAUGUUGUGAUGGAGUUUGAUCCUUCUCAAUUAUUUGCUCCAAUUCCUCACAGUUAGAUAUAACCAACAAAUACAAUUGUGGCAAAUUUCGAGCGAUGGCAGGUGAGAAGAUGUAUCUUAACCUUUUGCAGUCAUUGACUGUCAAUUGAGUGAGAUUUUGAAAGUAUUCAACUUGGAUGGGACCACUCCAUAUCACCCGCAAUUCAGUUAGUUCGGACAACGUUAGGAUCUUUAGACUUGAAAGAUUAUAUAUAGGAUAUUCAAAUAACUCUUCAAAAUUGGAAAUUGUUAAAUAUUCCGUACAUGUUGAUGUUCCUCCUCUCCUUUCAGGGACUGUCACGUUGCUUAUUUGCUUCUUUUCUGUCAUCUCUGAGAACUCCAAUUCCUAUAAACAUAUCAUCAAUUUAAGAAUACACACAAGAUUUCUUUUUCAAUCUUUUAUAGUGAAAGAAUUCAAUUUUUUAAAAAGUUUACUGUACAACUCAAAUAAUCAUAAAUUACAAAAAAAAAAAAAACUCCAAAAAUAUGGUGCAAAAACACAACAUAAAUAAUAUUACGUAGUACUGGAUAGUAUUUGCAAUAUAUAUAUAAGAAACAUAAAUAAUAUAUAUUUCUCAUAUAGAUUAUAAAAGUAUUCAGUUGAAAUGUUACUUAUGUUACUAAUUGGUAUUGUAAUUAACUAAACUACUUAAAGGUUUAUUUAGAUUAGUUUUUAGACCAAAAUUCUACAAUGCAAACUAUUUUUUAAAGAGUUAUACAAGCAUUUAUUUAUUUUAUACAAAAAAAAAAUUAAAAGGUGAAAAUUUUAAUAAAUAAUAUAUAUAUAUAUAAGGUGGUCUUACUUGUAUAUUAGUUGGAACGAUAAAAGGUGUCAAUUGAGGACAAUCUCUCACUUUUAACACGUGUAAAGAUGACGAUAUCAGCACGAUAUCGUUUCUAUCCCUUCCUUUCAAUUGAGGCAAAUUAAUUAACUCAACUUCAUUCAAUCGUUCAAGACCUUGAGACAUUGAGGUUAACACGUCUGGUCUUUGGACUAUUUCUUGCAAUUGGAAACAGCUCUCUAUCCUCAGAGUUUGCAAUUGCCCAAGACUAUUAGCAACACAUAUUGGGAAGAGAAAUUUCAACUGAUUGCAUUCUCUGACUUGUACUUCCCUUAGGCAUUGGAAGCUUAUGGUUGAUACUUGUGAGUCUUGAAUUAUUUCUUCCAUUCCAAAGCACCUCUCUAUCUUCAGAGUUUGCAAUUUCCCAAGACUAUUAGCAACACACAUUGGGAAGAGAAAUUUCAACUUAUUGCAUUUUGUGACUUGUACUUCCCUUAGGCAUUGGAAGCUUAUGGUUGGCAGUUGUGAGUCUUGGAUUAUUUCUUCCAUUCCAAAGCACCUCUCUAUCUUCAGAGUUUGCAAAUUAGGCGCAUUUAGUGUUUUAGAGUUACCUUGAGCAACAAUAAUUGGAAAGAGAGAUUUCAAGCUUUCACAUUCCAAGAUAUCAAUUCGAAUCAGAUUUGGAAAGCAAAGAGGUAGGGGAUGAUGUUGUGAUGACGUUUGAUCUUGCUCCAAUUCCUCAUAUUUACAUGAAUGCAAAUUGCUCAAUUGUUCAUUUGUCAUCUUCCCAAUCACCAAUUCCUAUAAACAUAUCAUCAAUUCUCAAUUUCAAAAUGUUCAAAGAUGUCAACAACUAACUUAACAUUUCAUCAAUUAAUUUCCUUACAAAAAAAAUAUUUUACAUUAAAUCAAUAUUAUACUCCAAAAAUGUGGUACAAAAACAGUCAUAAAUAAUAUCACAUAAUCAAUAUCAAACAACAAUAUAAUUUUAUACAGCUUAUUUUUGUUUACCCAUAUAAUUGGUAUAAUAUAAUUUAGAUAAAUAGUUUGCAACAUAUCUAAAACAUAAAGUUUGGAUAAUUUUUUUUUUUUGAAAAUUUUAUUAAUCAUAGUAUAUGGUAUUAUAAUUAACUAAUUUGUUUAAAAGGUUAUUUAGAUUAGUUUUAGACCAAAAUCAUAAAAUAAAAUCUUUCUUUUAAACAACUAUUCAAACAACGAAUUAUUAAAGAAAAAAUAGAAACAAAUAAAUAAAUAAUAUAAAACAAAAACAAAAAUCUUACUUGUAUCGUAGUUGAAAUAAUAAAAUGUGUCAAUUGAAGACAAUUGUGUACUAUUAACUUCUGCAAAGACGAUUGUGUGAGCAAAAUGCCGUUCACAUCCGUUUUUUUCAAUUGAGGCAAGUCAAUCAACGAAACCUGAAAUGAAAAGCAUAAUCAAAUUUCCCAACCUUUGACCAUAGGACAAUAAGGAAAAGAAAUGUAAAGUUAUUGCAGUGAGAUACACAUACUUCCCUUAGACUUUGGAGUAGACACUUGUAUGCCACUUGUCGGUCUUGGAUUAUAUCUUCCAAUUGCGAGCAACUCUUUAUCUUCAAAGUAUGCAAUUGCCCAAGGCUAUUAGCAACUGACAUUGGGAAGAUAUAUUUCAAAUUAUUGCACCCCUCUAUUUCAACAAUCUUCAGACUUUGGAGGCUUAAAUGACAACUGGGCCCUUCUUGUUCUAUGCUCCUCAAUUCAGCAAUUGGGAAUAACACUUGCAUCUCACCACAAUCUGAAACUAUAACCUCUUCAAGCUUUUGUAAAAAACCUUGCGGCUGGGGAGCAUUGCACAUCUCUUCCAAAUGAAACAUGCGACUUAAUGAUAACUUUCUCAAAUUAGAGAGAGCAGUGAUUGGCAGUUGCAGCUUUGAUGCAUCAAUUAGGCAUUGCAUAGAGUGGCACCGUCGAAGAUCUAGAGAAGUCAACUUUCUAAAUCCCAAGUCCAAGCUCGGAAUAAGGUUUGGGUGACCCUCCACAUCACCCAAUUCAAGAGAUUCUACAUCUUCAAAUAGUUGCUUGCAUGCAUCUACAGACUUAUUGAUUCUCAAAGAUCUUGAGAUUGGACAAGUUUCGCUCUUUUGGUACGACGUUUCUCUGCCUAUGCCAAUGGAAAAAUCAAAGCUCCAUAAUCUACGAAACACAAAGCCAUCUGGAAGAUGUUUAGAAGAAAUAUCCAAUGAUAUUACAACCAACUUUGGCAAUGAAUUCAACUCUGAUAAGCUGGAAUAGCUUUCCUUUUUAGUUGAAUCCUCAGUCGCCCAUUUUAAUGAACUACAACCAUGCAAGUAUAGUUCUUCUAAAUCGGACAAUCUUUGUAUUAAAUUAGGAGGGAAUCCUUCAAGGUUAUAACAAUACGAUAAAUCCAACAGUCUUAGCUUUUCUAGAUCACCAGCUUCAGUCGGCAAUUCAAUGAUAUCAGAUCCACUUAAAGAGAGAAUAUGAAGUGACUUCAGCUUCCCAAGCAUCGAGAUGUCAGAGAGUACACAAUCAAUCAAACACAAAGUUCGAAGGUUCAUAUUAAACUUAAAUGCAGCUAGAGAUAUCAAUUGAUCUUUCAAAGCACAGACUUGUAAUGCCUUCAUACCCUCGAAGAAUUCGCUUGAAUUUUCCAUGAAACUACCAAGUAAAAGAAGUUUGAGGCAUGGAAAACCCACUCCUUUAGGCAGUUCAUCCAUUUGAUCAGUUUCGAAGGAGAUUGCUGUGUAAUGCUUGAAACUUUCAUCCAUCGGGAGUGUUUCAACAGUCCCAAAACAAAUCUCCUUUCUUGAAGAUGCUAUCCACAAAGCAAAUUGGCGAACCAUGUCAUGCAUUUUGACAUGCCUUUCUCCGCAAUCUAGCAACAAACCGGAGUUCUUGAGGGUCUCAAUUGAUGCAAGCACUUCACUUCUAACAUCUUUAAUUGAGUCUAUGCCUUUAUACAACUCCAGUCCCCAUGCAUAUCCUACCAAGUUCUCCACAUAAAUCUCAUCAUCUUCAGGAAAUAAAGAGCACAACAAGAAACAUGUCUUGGUCUCCAUAUUCUUCAAGUAGUCGAAGCUCGCCUCAAUACAUACAUAGGCAUUUUCUUCAUUAACAUCCUCAAUUUCAGUCAAUCUACGAUCUUUGAGUCUCCGGUUUGCAGCUUGCCACUCAUGAUGGGUUUUACCUUUCAAGGCACUUCCCAGCGGAACUAUAGCUAUAGGCAAACCCCCGCAUUUUUUGACAAUUUGAUUUGCUAGGAUUUUAAUAGAAUCAUUAGAAAAGUCAUCUAGACCUGCUUUCUUUUCAAACAGAGUCCAGGCUUCAUCAUCAUUCAAACAGCCAAGUUGUACCACGUUUUGACAAUCCAUAGCUUGACAUACUUGUUGACGGCGUGUUGUUAAAAGAACUUUGCAGCCUUUAUGAUCAUCCCCAAUUGGAAUUCCCAUCUUCUCCUUUAAGUUGAUAGAUUCCCAAAUAUCAUCAAUAAUGAUAAGAAUCCUCGGUUCAUUCUUCAGCCUUAACCAUAAUUCUUGCUCGGAUCUUCUUCCUUGUUCAUUCUUCAUAUCAAAGCCUAUGUAUUGUGCAAUUUGAUCUUGAAUUCUCUCAAAAUUUGGCUUUUGAGACACAACCGUAAUCACAAUUUUGUCAACCAAAUUCAGUUUUUGAGCUUGACUUCCAACUUCACGAGCCAGGGUGGUCUUGCCCACCCCUCCCAUCCCCCACAACCCAAUCAUGUUGAUAUUCUCAUCUUUUAAGGCUUCAAUGAUUUGAUAGAAUGCAGUCUCUGAAGAUUUCGAAAACACAAAUUCCUUGGAACAUAGGAAAUCUAUAGUGGGAAGGGCAGUAGGAGCAGGGUAACCGACUGGUCCAAGUUGACCAAAUUUUUCCAAAAUCUCAGAGAUAUCCUGGAUUUUCUUCAUUGCUUUCUUGCUUAAUUGAUAUCUCCAACUCCAAUUAGGACAUCAAUUGAGACACCUCUUAUUCAGUUGGAUUUCGUCCUCUAAAGUUCCCAUAUCCGAUAGUGUUUCGUCUACCCUUGAUUGCAAGUUCUGUACAUCAUCUUCAAUUAGUAGAAGCCGGUUUUUAGCUUCCUCAAUCUUAAGUAGUAGACGCUUUCGUGCAUCUGCAAGUUAACGCAUUUUCUCUCGGAGCUUUUCAACAUUUUCAUGAAAGCGACAGACAUAAUCAAGUUGACGUCCUACCGGCUUCACCACACAGUUCACAACCAGUGUUCCAACCGUGUUAGAAAGAGCAGCCUCGCAAAAUCCGCAACCCAUCCUUGACAAGCUCAAAUUGAAGAAUAUAAACACUGCAGUGAAUCAUAAGUAAUUACCAUAAAAAAAAAAUUAAAGAAUCAAAAAGUGUUUUAAAGGUUAAGACACUACUUCUUAUACAUACCAAGGAAGGUGAAAGACAACUCAAACUAUGAGAAUCAAUGGGCUGUUCUUUCAACUCGGUCCAGCUGAAAACACAAAACAAAACGCGAAUAUUAUGAGAAAUUUAAUAAAUAAAAUCAUAUACAGUGUAAUGUCAUAUAAUUAUAACUAAAAAAGACAUUUAAUUAUUUAUAAAAAUAAGAAUUCAAAAUAUUGUUACCCUCAGACUAAUAAUAUUAUAGAUAUAAUGCUGGAAAAUAUAAUAAACAUAUCCACUUACCAUUUCAAAAUCCAAACAGUCUUUUAGCUCUUACUUGCUUCAAGAAAAAUAUAGAACAACUUCAAUUUAUAUAUAAAAAAACAGAAAUGAAGCAUAUAUAAAUAGGUUUACCUCACUUGGGAACUUCUAAAAUCAAACUACACUUAGUGCUCAGAAGAUUCUUACUUCAAAACAAUCAAAAGGGAGGGAUUUGAAGGUUGGUUUUUUCAUUUUUUUUUUAGCAAAAGUAAGUAAAACUGAAUACAAAAAGAAGGAACUUGAAGAAAGGGGGGGAAAAAACAAAGUAGAAAUUGAAGUUUAUCCGCCUGGAAAAUUCAACCGCUCGGAAAAUUUUACUAUUUCAGUAUGACCCCUGAAUUUCUACGAUGCUCCGCCACUAAAAACUGAGUUUUCUUGUAGACAAAGGAUUUGUGUUUAUUAAUGAAAUUGGUACUGAUUGGUUUGCAUUUAUUUUGCAAUUAAGACCAACAAAGACAUGACAGGAUAGGAGAUGACUUCCAAAAAGGUGAGUCUUUGGGUCAUAUUUUUACCCUGGUUUUCUCUAUUAGAAAUUAUGACUACCAAUUUAAAUUCGUCCCCAAACUUCAAAUUAUUUUAGUUACACAUUUAAAUUAUCGAUAUCAUAUUAAUCAAGUCCUUUUAUUAUUAUAAUCGUUAAAUAACAUAUCAAAUCUUAUGUAGUUAAAUUUAAAAUAAAAAAUUUAAGAAAUAGAAUCAUGUUACAUAACUUUUAAAAUUAAAAAUAAAAAUUAAGUAAAAUUGAAAUUAAAAAAAAAAGUGAACGAUAAAACUUUCAUAAAAACUUCCAAAACCUUAAAACUAGAGUUUUUAAAAUAUUUAUGUUUACAAUAUUCAUUUUUUAAAAUUUUCAUUUUAAAUUAUUAUGUCACAUUAGAUGAACAUGUCAUUUAAUAAUUAAACUCGGUAGAACGACCUCUCUAGGCUCUCUCUCAAUUUUGAUAUUGAGCAAAUUGGUCAUCUAAAAAGUCAAAUCAAUUUCGUAAGUGAGCAACUAAAGCAUUCUAUUAAUUUGAUCAUGAUUUAACAAAUUUAAUCCGCACUAUUUUUGUAAAUGCGUAAAUGUUGAGACUAAAUUUGUAGAUUUUCUUUUCAAGUAAGACAAAACUAACAAAAUAUGCAAAUGCCAAUGACUAAAUUUAUUAUUAUACCAAUCAAAACCAUGCAUAUAUAAUUGAGAAGGAUUUAGUUACUAACAUUAAAUUGUUCCUCUUUCUUUAGGGAGACGAAUUUACUCAAAUUCAAAAUUGAAAGGGAUUAGAGAGAUUUUUUUACUAUAAUAAUAAUCAAAACCCUUAUUAUUUUCUUAAUAAUAAUUUGUUUAUAAAUAUAAUUUUAAUGUAAAAUAUUUUCAUUCACUCGAGUAGUGUGAUAAAAUCUAAUAGAUAUAGAAUUGAUUUCUCUAUUUUAUUUAAAUACAAGUAUUGCAUAGAAUUGGGUAGAAAAGUAUAAAUGAAAGCAAGACUCGAUUGAGAAGCUGUUAUUUCAUUUUAUCAAUUCAUAUUAGUUGAUAAAAUCAUAUAUACAAUUCGAGUGUAAAGUCAUAUAAUUAUAAAUUGGAAGGAUAUAUUUCAUUACACAGAUAAAUAUAAUUCUAGUGAUUAAAAUUAAUUAAACUAAGUCUAUGUACUUUUUAUUAAUUUAUUUAAAUUUGAAAAAAAAAAUUAAAACUAAAAACUACCCAGUAGUAAUUGUUGAGUUUUUAUCUCUACUAAAUUUGGUUUAUUGAGUUGAGAGUGACACCAUGACUCGCUGUCAUAUUUAUAGAUUAUAGACGAUAGAUUAUAUAUAUUAUAUAUAACAUGUUUGACUAAAUUUGUGUCACGAGUCAAUUAGACACUAACUCGAUCGUAAAAUAAUUAAAAUACCCCUACUUUAAAAAGUAAUUAAUAUUAUUUUAACAUUAAUAUAAGAGUAUCUUCAUGUUUUCAUACUUUUAUUUAAUAUUCAAAUAAAACAACUCAAAAAUAAUAUUUAAGAAUCAAACACAAAACCAGUUGAAAUAUUUUUAUAAAUAUAUUUUUAAUAUAAAAUAUUUAUGUUUGUGAUAAAAUCUAGUAGAUAUAGACUAUAUAGAAUUGGUUUCUCUAUUUUAUUUAAUGAAAUGAACUUUAUAACUUUUAUUUCAUUUUGUUUGUUUUAUUUUUGUCAAUUCAUUUAAAUUUAUAAAAUUAAGAAUGAGCAAAAAUCGAUUUGGUUCGAAAAAAUUAAAUUUUAAGUUAAUUGAAUCGAUUUGACAAUUCGAAUAAUAGAUUAGUGUAAAUAUCUCUUUAAUCUCUAUCAAUUUUGAAAAUGAACAAAUUAGUUUUUUUCAACAAAAAUUACAAAAAAAUUUAAAAUAAUUUUCAAAAAUAAAAAAUAUUUAUAAAAAUUCCAAUUUUUUAAUAGUUUUAAAAAAUUCCUAAAAUAAGAAUUUUGGAACCUAAAUAAGUUAAUUAAUGAUUGAAGUUUAUUUAUUUUUAUUUAAAAAGUUUUCAAAUACAUAUGGUUUCAAAUUUAAGUGGUUUAACAUGUAAUUAGUUAUACGGUAACAAUAUUUUAAUUUGACAUGUUUAAUUUUUUAUUUAACUCUAAUAAUUUCACUCGAUUCGAAUUUUAUUUCACUUGACUCAAUUCGAAAAAAUUUCAAAUCGAAUUAGGAUGAUAAAAUAGGACUCAUCAACUCGAUCGACUCGAUUUGAUCCAACGUUCAUCCUAAAUAAAAUCGUAUACAUGUGUGUAAUGUGAUACAAUUAUAAAUAAAAAAGACAGAUAAUUUACCACUUCAAAAUGAAGUUGUAACUCCAAGAAUUUGAUCGUUAAAAUAAAAAGUCCAAACACUCUUUUAGCUCUGAUUUGCUUCAAGAAGGACAUAAAAAGAUGAGAUGAGAUGAGAUGAAAAAAAUAUAUAACAAAUUUAAUUUAUAUAUAUAAACACAAAUAUAAAUGGAUUUACCUCACUUGGGAACUUCAAAAUCAAACUACACUUGGUGUCGAGAAGAUUCUUAAUUACUACUUCAAAUCAAUCAAAAGGGAUUUGAAGUUGGGUUUUUUCUUUGUUUCUUUUUUUGAGCAAAAGAACUUGAAGAUAUUUUUUAUCUUUAAGGAAAGGGAAAUAGAAAUAGAAAUCAAGGUUGAAGUAAAAUAAGGAGAAACCUUCACAAAGAAAUUGAACUUGAUCUGCCUGGAAAUUUCAACAAACUGGGUUUUCUUGAUUUAGUAGCCAAAUGAAUUGUGCUAUGAGAUUACUGCAAUUUUGGGAUCUAAAUUAAUGAAGUUGGUACUGUUUGGUUUGCUAAUGGCCCCAUGCAUUUAUUUUCCAAUUAAGACCAACAAAAACAUGAUAUGAUAGGAGAUUACUUACAAAAACGUGAGUCUUUGGGUCAUAUUUUUACCCUGGUUUGCUCUAUUAGAAAAGAGUUAAUUACAUCAAGCAUCCUUAAAUUAUGACGAUCAAUUUAAAUUGGUCGCUGAACUUUAGAUUAUUCUAAUUACAUCCCCAAUUUAUCGGUGCUAUAUCAAUUGAGUCCUUUUGUUAUUACAAUCAUUAAGUGACAUGUCAAAAUCUUACAUAGCUAAAUUUAAAAUGAAAUUUUUAAAUAAAUAGAAUCAUGUUACAUAACUUUUUAAAUUAAAAACAAAAAUUAACUAAAACAUUUUUUUUUUAAAGUGAACAUAAAACUUCCAUAAAAACUUCGAAAACCUCAAAACUAAGGUUUUUAAAACAGUUAUUUUUAUAAUAUUAAUUUUUUAAAAUUUUCAUUUUAAACUAUUAUGUCAUAUUAGAUGUAACAUGUCAUUUAAUGAUUAAACUGGGUAAAACGACCUUUCUAGUACAUCUCAAUUUUGAUAUUGAGCAAAUUUGUCUCUCUAAAAAAAUCAAACCAAUCUAAUACCUAUCAAUUUCAAAAGUGACCGAAUAAGGACAAUUUUCAUAAAUUUGACAGGUAAAUAACAAAUUUAGCUCUCAAAGUUGACACAUUCUAUCAAUUUAGUCAUGAUUUAACAAAUUCAGCUCGCAAUAUUUUUAUAAACAUGUAAAUAUUAAGACUAAUUUUUUUUUAUUUUUUAGAAUCAAAACGAAACUAACAAAAUUACAAUUUAAUCAUAGAUAUUUUCAAAAUUUUUUGUUGAAGAUAUAUUUUACUAAUUCAUAGAUAUACAAACUAAAAAUAUAGUCCCGCCUGAAAAUCAAUAAAUCUUGAUUAAUAUAUUUUAUUAAUUCAUAUAUCUUCAAAAAUCAUGGAUUUCAAUUUAAUCAUAGAUAUCUUCAUCUAUUCUUUGGUUGUGGCCCAAGUAAAUGGAAAGUUUACCCACUUACCACUUCAAAAUGAAGUUAUGAUUCCAAGAAUUUGAGUGUGGAUGAGAAAAUUCCAAACAGUCUUUUUAUCUCUGUUUUAGUUUCAAGAAAAACAUAAAAAGAUAAUAUUAGAUGAGGAAAUAUAUAACAAAAUUAAACUUGGCGGUUGGUUUGCAAAUUCUAGAGAUAAAUUUCCAAUGUUUAUGCUAUAUAACAAGUUUUUUUCCUUCAAAAUUAAAAAUGAAUAAGAAUAUGCUUUUAUGAAAUUUCAUACCAAAUCACGGGUUUGGGUAUCUUCAACAAAAAGUUGAGUUUUACAUAACAUGUUCUAUUGUCAUUUUGGUAUUUUUUUUUUCCGUAAUCAAAAUAAUGUAUGAAAGAUAAAAUAUAAAAUUAAUGCAUCACUUUUUAGAAAAUUUUAAACAAUCAUCAUUAACGGUCUCAAUAGUUUUAUAGGUAAAUUACAAUCAAAUCAUUAAAUUAUUAAUAAUGUCGAAAUCUUUUUGAAAUCAACUUUCUAUUUUUAAAAUGACGAGAAUGAGAGUCGUCACCAAUCCUUUUUUAUUAGGUAUAAUCAGAUCACAUCGUAAUUUAAUCAUUUUUGGUUUACAAAAUCUAAGAAAUGGGUUCGGGAGUCAGUUACGCACGAUGAAUGGUUAGUAUCCUCGUAACGUCCAAAAUUGGUACUUAAGUGAUUAAUUGGUGUCUUAAGGUCGAAAGUUAAAAAUUCGAAAAUAGUUUAAAAUACGAUCCCUCUUUGUAUUAAUGUAUUUUUGAAGUAAAAUCCCUUGAAUAAAUCAAAAGUGUAUAAAAGGUCCUCUUAUCUUGAGGUAACAAAAAGGCCAUAUCCCGUAAGUUAGGACAUGUCAUCUCGCAUACUCGAAAAUAACCUUUCUCUUUAUUUAAUUACUAUUCAAAUCUCAGGUGUUUUAAUUUUGAAAGAGAUGUUUAGCUAUCUAGGUUCAAAGAGAAAGUCUCAUAAGUUAAGGUACGACAUCUCGAAUCUCCAAAUGCGGAACAUUGCCAUAAUUUUAAAAAUUUUCUUUUUAUGCACCGAGUAAAAAUUAAUGUAACACUUAAAAUAGUAUAUACUUAAUUUAUUCAGGCAUUAUAUGAAAAACGGACAAAUCUGUUCAAACAAGGUUCGUGACAUGAUUGCGGUCACAAUAAAAUUAAAUGAAGUAUAUAUAAAAAAUAUUGGUAUAUGGAAAACAAAAUGUCGUGCUAGUAAGUGACAGUGCGAUUUCAAUUUGUAAUAAUAAUAACAUGAUAAUGAUACACAUAAUAAAAUAUGAAUGUAUAAUAAUAUCAAUAUGAACAAUAAAUGUGCAAGUAAAACGUAAAUAAUCUAAUUUUGAAAAUAUAUUUUAAAAAAUAAAUAAUGACGAUAAUAAAGGCAAAAGAAGAAGAGAUAAAAAUAAAAAUAAAAUAAUAAAAAAUGCACAUUAAAUAAAAAAAACAAGUAAACUUUAAAUAAAAAUUAAAUAAUAAGUAAAUAAAUCAAAUCAAAUCAAAUAAUAAUAAAUAAUAAUAAUACAUAAAAAUGAAUAAUCUAGAAAGGGUCGAAACUAAAUAAAUAAGGAUUAAAUCGACAUUGAAAUGAAAUUAAGAGUCUAAAUUUUAAUAAAAUAAAAUAAGUGCAUAAACAUAAGGAUUAAGUUGAAACUAAAGUAAAAUUUUAGGGGGGAAAUUAGGAUAAAAAUAAAAUAAGGGACUAAAUUGUAACAUGCAAAGAAAAGAGAGUGGUAGAAUUGAAACAAAAUCAAAAUCAUUUUUGGGUCGGGUCAUCAAGUUGGCCUCAAAAUGACGUCGUUUUGGGGCGUUUUGGAACACCUCGAAACAGUACCGUUUAUCACCCUAUUUAGCUAAAAAAAACUUCAAAAAAUCAUUUUUAAAACAGUUUUAAAAAAAACUUUGUUCUUUUUUUUUUCUCUCCAUCCCUCCCAAUCCGGCCUAGGCAGCCGCCAAGCUCCGCCGUGAUGGCCACCAGUCGCCGACGAUGUAUUCGUCUUCCACGGUGGUCGAAAAACGAAAAAGGUGCAUUUUUUCGGCCUUUUGACUUCCAAAGCCCAGAUCUGAGGACUAAGAGCCUAAAAAGGUAGAAAAAAAACAAGAAAGUUUUGAUAUUUUUUUCUAUUCGCCUUUUUUUUAAAAAUAUAUAUGUGUUUUUUUUCCUUUCGAAAAAAAUAAAUAAACAAAAAAAAUGAAAUCACCUUCUGUAUUGAUUUCUUUUUUCGAUUGAUCUCAUUUUUUUAAAUUUUUUUGUCUCCAAAAAUACUUUUUAAUCCAGCCUUUAUAGUCGAUUUUUACAUAUUAUUUUUUAUGUUUUUCUACUAUUUCAUAAUGUUCAUUGCGUGUGUUGCUUUUUCUUGGCAGGGGUUGUCGUCGGUGGCAGAGGUUAGGGUACAACGCUGACAUGGGAGGAGCAGCGGCGCUAGGGGCUAGGGGGCUAGGGUUUUUUUUUUUGAAAAGAUGUUUUGGAUUAGGUUUUUUUUUAUUUGGGCGAUGUUGGGCCAUAUUGUAAAUGAACUAUUAUUUAUUUUUUAUUGGACUUUAAUAUUAUUCUUUGGUUUGGUUUGUUUGGGCCCAGGCUAAAUUGGCCUAUUACAGCUGCCCCUCUUUGCUUAUUUCGUGUAACGGGAAUGGAGCAAAAUUUUCCUGGUAUUAUCGAAUCUCGACUUCUUUGGUGCUUCUCUUCUUCAAGUAGUCUCAUUCUAACCCACUGCAACUUUAGGGAUAUGAAAAUUGUAAUUUUAAUCUACUUUGCUGCAACCUCGGAGAGAUGAGAUUUGUAGCUUCAAUUUGCUUCACUGUAACUUUAGGAAGAUAAGAUUUGCUAUCUUCAAUCUACUCCACUGCCACUUCAAGAAAAUAAGAUUUGUAGUUCUAAUUUGCUCCACUGCAACUUCAGGGAGAUAAGAUUUGUAGCUUUAAUCUACUCCACUGCAACUUCAGAGAGAUAAGAUUUAUGGUUUUAAUCUGCUCUACUACAACUUUAGAGAGAUAAGAUUUGCUAUCUUCAAUCUGCUCCACUGCAACUUCAAAGAGAUAAGAUUUGUGAGUUUAAUUUGCUUUACUGCAACUUUAGAGAGAUAAGAUUUGAUAUCUUUAAUCUGCUCAACUGCAACUUCAAGAAGAUAAGAUUUGCUAUAUUCAAUCUGCUCCACUGCAACUUCAGGAAGAUAAGAUUUACUAUCUUCAAUCUGCUCCACUGUGAUUUCAUGGAGAUAAGAUUUGCUAUCCUCAACCUGCUCUACUGUGACUUCAAGGAGAUAAGAUUUGUGAUUUUAAUCUGCUCCACUACAACUUCAGAGAGAUAUGAUUUGUGGCUUUAAUUUGCUCCACCGUAACUUUAGGGAGAUAAGAUUUUCCAUGAAAACUUCAAACUGUCCCACUGCAACUUCAGGGGUAUAGGAUUUGUGGUUCCACUAAUCUAUUACACCGUUCUCUAGGGAACAUGACCAGUAGAAACCAUUUCAUGGGCCUAUAUUUAUGCCAAGCGAUUAGGAUGCUAUGAUCAAAAUGAAUCAAAUGCUCCUAACUAGAUGUGUAUGAAUGAUAUUUGCAUGAAUGCAUAAUGUCAUUUUUUAAGAAUGAUCCCCUUUUAAUGCUUAGGUUGACAUUGCUAUUUUUCAUUAAGGUUUUAUUACUAGCACAUUACCUUGCUUCUUGUUUAACUGGUAUAUUUGACAGAAAAAUCAAAAAAAAAUCACAAUUUAAACUAUUUGUUUCCAAACAUUUCCAACUCUCAGAUUUGGCCAGUUCUGAUUAGUGGUCCAGUUUCAAGUCCUUGUAUUAUUUAGAAAACCUUUUAGAGCAAUAUACAAAAUUCCUUUUACUUGAAUAUUAUUAGUACAUUAAUCAUUAUUUCAAUGAAAAAUGCUUGAAAAAGAUCGUAAUAAUGGACAAGAUUGAAAUUUAUUCGGAGCAGAGCUCGAAAUGAAUAGAUUAAUCAAAGAUAGCAAAUGUUACUAAAAUACAAAAAGAGUAAGAUAAAAAUAGAUGCUGCACAUAUCGUAGUAUGAGCUUUUCUAUACUAACUUCACGAGGACCUUUUUUAAGCUUGAUAUGUGUUUAGGAUAUCCAGAGUACAUUAUUGAUGCCCCAAUAUGUAACGUUUUUCUUUCCAAGAAGACCUGACCAUCACAUGUUCAAUCUUCAAUCCAAAUUUGAGUUUCCCUUUUCUUGGGUUUUCAACUCAAAAACCCUUUUGGUAUCAAUGCACCCUUUGCGGGUUUUUGCCUUGGCUUCUCCAUCUCGGUCAAAAUCAAUGCUCCUCCAAAAAAAGGCCUCAUUUACCAUAUAAGGUCAUUCCCAGUUUGGCAUCCACUUUCCUAUGAAAUCCUUUUGUAUGGAAAGGAUCUAUUUCAAUACCAGGUACCCCUUAUAGAACUCUAUGGGGCGAACCUUUUUUCCAUAAGCUCGCAUCUUUUAUUUUUAGUACAUCUGACCAUGACGGAUAACUUUCAACCUUUUUUUCAAUCAAAUUCAGCUGAUCAUAUCGAGAUUGGAUCUAUUCUACUUCAUCUAACUUCAACUCUAACAAAACUUGGAGAGAAGGAAUCUCGACUUCAAUAGGCAAAACCACCCCUAUUCCAUAAACCAAUGAGAAAGGUGUUGCCCCAGUGGAGGUCUUGCCAAGUGUUCAAUAAGCAUAGAGGGCAAAUGGUAACUUCUCAGGCCAAUCUUUAUAAGUCUCAGUCAUUUUCGCUACGAUAUUCUUAAUGUUCUUGUUGGCUACCUUCACCGCACCAUUCAUUUUUGGGCGAUAUGGUGAUGAGUUGUGGUGUUUGAUCUUGAAUUAACUACAGACCUCUAUUAUUGUGCUGCUGUUCAAGUUCAAUGCAUUAUCGGAUAUAAUUCUUUCUGCCAUCUUAUACUAGCAUAUGAUCUUUUUCUUCAAGAAUUUGUUGAUUACCGACUUCGUGAAAUUGGCAUAAGAAGUGACUUCUACCCAGUUGGUGAAGUAAUCAAUGACCACAAUGAUGAAUCGAUGUCUGCUUAAAGAUUUUGGCGAGAUCGACCCAAUGACAUCCAUGCCCCACAUAGAGAAAGGCCAUGAAGAAGCCAUAACAUGAAGAGGUGGAUGAGGCAUAUGAAUUUUAUCUUCGUAAAUUUGACGCUAAUAACAUCUCUUGGCAUAACUGAUACAAUAUCAUUUUAUAGUGGACCAAUUAUACCCAAAUCUCAUUAUUUGCCUGGCUAUUGUAAAGCCAUUAGCAUGUGUUCCGCAGACACCCUCAUGGACUUCUUCUAAGAUUUUCUUAUACUCAACAGUGUCUACACAUCUUAGCCACACUUGAUCUUUUCUUCUUUUGUAUAGGAUCUCUCCAUCUAAGACAUAGUCAUUGGCCAGUCUUCUCAAUGUCCUUUUAUCAUUCUCGAUUGUUUGAUCGGGAUAUUCAUGGUUCGUCAUAUAUCGUAGUAUAUCGUGGUACCAAGGGUAAUCAUCCAUUUCUUCUUCGAUGAUGAUGUAACAAUGAGCCAGAGCCUCAUAAAUACUUAUCUAGAUAGGUUUUACAUCCUCUUGUUUGUUCACUUUGAUCAUAGAAGCUAAAGUAGCUAGGGCAUCAGCCAUCUGAUUUUCAUAUCGCGGGAGGUAGUAGAAAGUGAUGUCAUCAAACUCCUCAGUUAACUCAAGAACCAACCUGCGAUAACUAAUCAAUUUAGGGCCUCUCGUUUCCUAUUCACCUUUGAGUUAAUAGAUCAUGAGUGCAGAAUUCUCAUAUACUCUAGUACUUUGAUAUUACGUUUUGUGGCUGCAUGGAUACCCAUGAUGCAUACUUCGUAUUCUGCCAUAUUUUUUGUACAAUCAAUAUCCAAUUAACUAGUAAAUGAAUAAUGAUCUCCGUUUGGGGAUACCAAGACUACCCCGAUUUUGUUACCUAUAAUGUUUGAAGUUCCGUCAAAAUUUAGCUUCCAAGGAUGUAUGUAUUGAGAAUCUUCUUCAGUGGUUGCAACAUACAUAAGAUUUUCAUUUGGGAAAUCAAAGUUCAAAGGCUCAUAAUCUUCUAUGGCUCUACUGGCUAGAAAAUCUACUAUUACACUCCUUUUUAUUGCCUUCUAGUUCAUAUAAAUUAUAUCAAAUUCAGAAAGUAGAAUCUGUCAUUAGGCCGUUCUGCCAUUUAAAGCAGUUGACUCCAUCAUGUACUUUAGAGGGUUUAUUUUUUAGAUGAGCCAAGUUGUGUGGUACAACAUGUACUGUCUCAGUCUUCGGGUUAUCCAGAUUAAGGUGCAACAAAACUUUUCAAUUUGUGAGUAUCGUGUCUCACAUUUAGUGAACUUUUUACUAAGGUGGUAUAUUGCUUUUUCUUUCCUUCCUGACUCAUCGUGUUGGCCAAUCACACAUUUAAUAAAAUUCUCAAAUACGACCAAAUACAGUAUCAGUGGCUUAUUUGGACUAGGUGGCAUCAGUACUAGAGCAUUGGACAAGUAAUGUUUGACCUUGUUGAAAGUCUUUUGGCAUUCUUCAUCCCACACACUUGGAUUAAGUUUCUUAAGGAGACAAAAUAUGGUGUCACGUUUCUCAGUUAAUUGUUAAAUGAACCUGGCGAUGUAAUUUAAUCUCCCUAAGAAACCCCGAACUUCUUUUUGAGUGAACGACAGAGGCAACUCCUAUAUAGCUUUGACUUUGUCUGGGUCGAUUUCAAUUGCCUUUUCGCUGACUAUAAAACCUAGCAAUUUUCCUGACCUAGCCCCGAAGGUUCAUUUUGUUGGAUUGAGCUUUAGCUGAAAUUUUCUCAACCUCAAGAAUAAUUUCCUCAAGACUUGUACAUGCUCUUUUUCUAUUUGGGAUUUUACAAUCAUAUUGUCGACGUAAACAUUGAUUUCUUUCUACAUCAUAUCAUGAAACAGGGUUACCAUGGCUCUUUAAUACGUCACUCCUGCACGUUUUUUUCUAAAUGGCAUCACUUUAUAGCAAAAGGUUCCCUACAUAGUUCUGAAUUUGGUAUUUUCCAUGUCUUUAGGGUGUAUCUUUAUCUGGUUGUAACCGGAGAAGUCAUUCAUAAAGGAGAACAGUGAAUAACCUGUCGUGUUGUCCACUAAGGUGUCAAUAUAAGGCAAUGAAAAAUUAUCUUUCGGGUUAGCCUUGUUUAAAUCCUUGUAGUCUACACAUAUUCGUACUUUCCCAUCUUUCUUAGGGAUGGAGACUAUAUUGGCUACCCACUCGAAGUAUUUAAUCACUUGUAGGAAAACAACGUCAAAUUACUUCUUGACCUAUUCUUUUAUUUUUAACAAGAUGUCGAGCCUCAUCCUUCAAAGUUUUUAUAGAAUCGACUUGCAUUCUUCUUUUAAAGGAAACCUAUAAACCAUGAUAUCAGUACUUAGACCAUACUGUUGGAACGCCGGCACCCCCAUGGCGCAGUAAAAAUUAAUACUUCCGACAAUCCAACCCAUGGAUCCAUAUGCGAGGAACGAAUCGGGGUGAAAUAAAGGUUUCGUAAUUACCAAAACUUUAAACUGAGUAGGCAGUGACGCUAUUAGAAACAAGUAUUCUGAUCUACUAUUGAACCAAGCCGCAACCUUUCAGAUUUUGACCUCUACGUAAUCCACCCGGUUUGACAACGAACGGAAGAAAUCCCCAAAACUAUUUUGGAGAAGUCUUUGCUUGACGACUGCUAGACCUCACAAGCCAAAAAAAAACAAGAUUUUAUUUUCGGAGUUUUUUACACACAAACCCUCUUAUAAUUGGUAUAUAUAUAAUAAAUAAAUAUAAUAAUGUUUUAACUAAAAAUUAUAAUUAUGUUAAUUAUAAUAAGGAUUUCGAUAAACUAUAUUUAUUUAAAUUCAUAUACGAAGCAAAUUCAUAUAUUAAUAGAACUAUUUUCUCAUUAUGUGUACAACAUCCUUGCACACAUCAUAUGCUCGAUAUUUGAUUGCCCAAUUAAAUUAAUUCUAUAAUUAAUUUAAUUCAUGUGACAACCAAAACCAAUACCAACUAUGUUUUAUUCCGUCCAUUUCAACCAUAGGGUGUGACCCUGUAGGUUCUUGUAACGUUAGCAGUAAUACCAGAACGAUUCUAAUGUUACAAACAAUGAGUUGCAUCUAGCAAUGCAUCAUUGCUACCGAAGUUACAAGAAAAUAUGAUUCGACAUAACCUUUUUGUGAUUAACCUUUCAUGCAUUAAUCCUUAAGUCCUUUAUCUCUGGAAUGGACACAAGUCAUGGAAUAGUCACACUUGCAUAGUCCAUCCCUUGUUCCUCGAUAUUUUGAGUAGACUAUGAUAUACAAAUAAGUAUGACAUCUCAUAUCAACUUAUUUGAGCAUGGCCAUGCAUUUCUAGUCUCACUCAAUUAAGUGUCCUAAGAUAUUACUCCCAUUAUAUAGGAGGGACUUAUCCUAUAUGGAUCAACUAUAUCCCUCUACAUAGAUUGUGGUAUAUCCAACAUCAGCCUUUAUAGGACAACCAAUUACGGUGUACGUUUGACUAUAUCAAAAUAUACAACUCACGAUGUUAGGAUAAUGAUGAUCUCAAGUCUGAGGAUCAUAUACAUAUUAAUCACUAUGACUAAUGUUGUGACAAUUACAUAAUAAUCCAAGAAACAUACUCAUAGCGGGUCAGUCCAAUAUGUUGUUCUCUAACACACAUAUUCUUGCAUUGAUUUUGACACUCCAUAUCAAUGACAACUCUUUAUCAUCAAUCCACUACAUGUUAGUCUUAAUGCAUUAUUGUUGUCCUAGUUGACAAUAAUACUUGACUAAGGACCUUUUAAGAAUAAUCAAAUUAUUCUCAGGAUAUUAUUAUAAAACAAUUUAUUUAUACACAUAGAAAAGAAACUAAAAUAAUAAUGACAACGCCUUACAUUAAUAAACAUGAUAAAUCAAGUAUGUUAUUACAACCAUCUCAUGAUUAAUCUUUGGGCAUACUCUUACACAUACAUGUCUUGAUACCAUGCGAAGACAUCUUUGAAUUCUUAGAGUAACUCAAUGAGGUCUCACUUUGUCUCUACGGUGAUGCAAGCUCCGAUCUUCACUUCUUUCAUUUCUUGUCCAUCUCCUAAGUUCACAAUUUUUACUGACUUUUUCUUAGGUAGAAUCUGUUUCUCCUCUUGUUCUACCAUCCUUAACAAAUCAGGGGAUAGGUUACAAUCUCGAUCAUCUUCAAAGUCCUAAGUUUCCUCUAAACACAUAUCUUACUCAAAAGGAGAUUCUGAGUCAGUAGCAGUGUCGCUCAUAUCAUUGAUAUCCAGAAACCUGUUCUAGGAAUGAAGGAAGACCUAAAGAACAAAUGAAUCUAAGAAUAAUUAUUUGCGUGGUAUGAGUAUGAAUGAAAUGGAAAGAAUAAAAGAAUGUUUGCCAAAAUGAGACACAAAUAUGCAUUUUAUUGAAAUAAAAAUAAUGGAAAUAUGCCUUUUUCACAAAAGGUCUUAUUGCUCCCUGGCUUAGUGCAAUAAAUGUAUUUUGAACAUUACUCUGAAUUAGUUCUAAAAUUUAUAGAGAUCUUGGCAUGAAUAAUUUUCUAUUGAUUUAUAAAAAUAUAAAAGACAAAAACAUACUCAAAUAAUCAUAUAACUUACUUUGAAAAUAAAAUGGAUUUUUGUUGAUUUCCCAAGUGAGUUGGAACCCAAUUAAUGAGUGACACCAACUCAAUAAAAAGCUUAAUAAAUAAUGUAGACAAAUUAUAUCAUUAGUCUCUCAACUAUGAGUAAACUUUUGUUUUGAUUGCUUAACUAAAAAAUAUUACAAUUUAAUUAUAGACAUUUUCAUUUUUUAUUUUGGCUUUCUUCUACUUUUCUUGAGCUGAAAGACUAAUGGUGACACUUUUUUAAUUAGUAUAAUAAUAAUUUUAAGCUGAAUUUUAACCCUCAACUUUUAUACUUUCUAAGCACAAUUGAUUUGCUUGAAACUGGCAUGAUAGUUUAUUUAUUACAUAAUUUUCCCAUGGCCAUUGCACAAAAGUUAUCCCAAAGAAAGUCUUUAUAUUAAAGGAGGCUCAUUUGAUCUAUAAGAAUUGGCUCAAUUUGAAGAACAAGUGACAAAGCCUACAAAAUAUUUUGAUUUUAAUUUAUAAUUUAAUAUUCCAUUUUUUCAAUUAAGUAGUUAUAUUUGAUUUCCAUUACACAUCAACAUUUGAAAAUUAAAAAAUAUAUAAAAUUUUCAGAAAACAGUAUAGAGCAAACUACACUCAACUCAACUAAUUAUGGGUGAUUGUGUUUGGUCACCCAAUUAUGAAUUUGUUUAAUUUUUGAUCAUCCAAUUAUAUAUAUUUUUUAAAUUUGCUCACUCAAUUAAUUGAGAUUGUAUUUUUUUGUCCAUUUCCAUUAAUUGCACUAAUAGGAGGGUGUGAAAAAUAAAUAUAAUAAUAAAUUUAGCCCUCAACCUUUUACAUAUUAUAUCGAUUUAGUCACAAUUUAAAAAAAAAACCUUCAAAAUUUACAAAUAGUCUUAAUUUGAUUCUAUAUUUUUUAAAAAAAUCAAGGGAAUAUAUAGAAAUACAUAAAUAUUUAAAAAAAUUGUAUAAUAAUAUUGAUAUUAAAUAAAAAUAACUAUAUUAAUAUUAAAGAAAAAUACAUUAAUAUUUUCAACUUAUUUAAUAUAGAAUUUUUUAUUUUAAAAAACAAUUUUUAUAAAGAAUUAGGGUUAAAUUGACAGAAAAUUUAAAAGUUGAGGACUGAAAUUGUUAUUAUACUAACUACAAAAGUGUCACUUUUAGCCAUUGAAUGGUUGGGUGAAAAAAAAACAAUUUGCAAAUGUCAGUGGCCAAAUUGUAACUUUUUUAAUUAAAUGAGACAUAAUUGAGGGACUAAUAGUGUAAUUUGUCCUUUGUUUUUAAAGAUAUGAAUUAAUUCACAUUUUUUAGGUUAAUAUGUUAUUAAAAGAUUAAAAUCCAAAUGUCAUUUUUCUUCUUUUCUUUCUCGCGACUGGUUCCGCUUUUAUUGUCACGCAUCUUUGGUUUUUUUCCUUUUUGCUUUUCUAGUGCUUUUCUUUUUAUCGGCGACCGCCAUAGCCGCCACCACCAUCACCACUUAUUCCUCUCUUUUUUGGUGAAAUCUUCUUCUUUUUCCUUCAAAAGCCAAUAGUAGUGUCAGAAGGAUCGGACACAUAUCACAUGUCCUUACCCGCGUUGCGUCGGAAUUUUUUUCAUAUGUUUGAAAGAUCAGCACAAGUAUUUAUGUUUAAUACACAUCAUAAAACCUUGAGUUGUUUCUGCAAGAUCUAGAGAACAAAAUUGGAGAAACUUGAAGGUAGCUUAGAAGAACCUAAAAGCAAUAAACGAAAGCUAGAUGAAAGGUUGAAAUUAGCAUUAACCAAGCCUUCUUUUCUUCUAACUCUGGGGAGAGUCCAUAUUCGAUGGGAAAAUUGGCAAAAAGUUUAGUGGAGUAUUAAGCUUGUUGCUUAACGGUACUUCCAACAUUGGGUUGAGGGAGACCAAUUGUUUUGCAAACGCAACAGCUAUGGAUGGGAUAGAAAGCUCAUGUAUGCUUAAAGGUAGGUGAUUGUAAUAGAUUAACCAUUGGAAUUCAUCUAAUAAGAUAGAAAUGGCAUUCAGUUGAAGUUCACAAUGAAGAAUGGUUAUGUCAGUGUAUAUGGCUGCCACUUUUCUUUUCUACUACUUUGAAUAAAGCUCAUAUUUAUUUCUAGACAAGCAUAUCUUAUACAUAUGCGGAGGAUAAGUUAUUAAACUAAAAACUAUUCUUUUUUUAAACUCAGAUUAAUCAAUAGAAUUCGCAUAAGUUCAACAUAUGCUUCACUUUGUUUUUUUCCUUAUAACUCACUAAAAUUUGUCUUCUCUCUCAAGGAAAAGAAAAAGUAGGAUGUAUAUACUAACGAAUAAAUGACAUUCAAUUUAAACACUCGCAACGAUGAAUUUUGAAAUGAACUCCUUAAAUAGAAAUGAAUUCAUUUAUUGCUCCAUUCAUUCAUUUUCUGUUGGUUACAGACCUGAUUAAGUUAUGAACAAGUAAAAAUAUCGAAAGAAAUUGGGAAACUGGACACAUAAAUUUAACAUGGAAAAACUCUUCCAAAGAGGAUAAAAAAUCACGGACAAAGAUAAUUUUACUAUAAUGGCAAAAGAAUGAAAGUAUAAAAAUGGAGAUAAAAACUAAACCCCGAAACUCGAAAACAAAGAACCUUCAAAACGUAAAUACAAAAUUCUCCAAAAAUUUUAUGAGAUAUAAUCUUUUUGGGUGUAUUUUCUAAGUUUGUAAAAGAACUUAUUUAUAAGACAAAUUCGUAGGUCAAAUAAUAAUAAAAUAAUCUAGACUAAUCAGAGUUCGAAUGAAACGAAUAAAUAGAGUUUAAUUAUCUUUCAAAUUUGAUUGAAAUAUGAGGCAUACUCAACAAGUUUCCACCUUAACUCGUAUUUCCACGUCAUUUUUUCCAAAACCUACCACGGGCCUAUCUUGAACUAUGCAGGGAAUUAACUGAGUCGAAUCUGUGCUUAGAAGCUGGAAGACUUCUAGCCUUUGAUGUAACACCCCAAACCCGUCCUAGACGUUAUGGCCGAAUCCGGAGAUGUUACAAAAAAGGAUUUUGAAAAUAGUGAUAUUUCGACCAUCCAUGUUUAUUGUGGUUGUGUUAAUACUAUAUUGUAUUUAGCUAUUUUAGUUGUUUAGUAAGGAUUGUAAUAAAUCUUCAUUACGUUAGCAAUCUCGAAAUCUCUAUGCAAUUAAGAGACUUGUAUAGGUUGAUGCACAAAUUAUUAAGAGCAUUUAUAUGUUCAAGUGAGGAACGUUAUUUUGCAAGAGCGCAUUUGUGAUUGUAAGAUUUUGUAUUGUGGUUUUGCAAACUAAGUUCUCUAAGGGAGAAUUUAGUGGUGAGUGAUCUAGUCUUUGAAGGUACAAGAGUGAGGAAUCGUCAUUGGGGUGUGAUACAUUUAGGUUCAUUGGUUGUAAUUGUUUAAAUAUAGUGAUUCUUCUUACUAAGCAAGGCUUAACAAACGUAGGAAACUGAACUGCGUAAACAAACUUUGAUGCUUCCUAUUUUGUUUUUGCUUAUCACAGUGCUUGUAGAAGUACACACUUUUGUAGUAACUUUCAAUACGGAGCCAAUUGUUUUGUAGACACAAUGGCUAUGACUGGAUGGAAAGUUUAUGGUUAAACUAUUCUCUUUAAAUUCACAUUAGUAUAAAAUAAAAUUUAAAUUAAUUUAAAAUUUUAAAAUAAUUUUAUUUUAAUUUUUAAAUCAAGCAAUUUGAUAGGUUAAAAUUAACUAUAAAAUAAUUUAGGAAUUUAUUAACCACAAAAAUAAUUUAAAAACUUAUGUAAACAAAUGAAGAGUUCUUUUAAUAAAGGUAAUAUUUAUUUCUAGACAAGUGGCUAAGGGUAUGACAUUAGGCUAAAACGAAUAAUUGCAAGUUUUGUCAAAAAUCAUAGUUCUAUUUUUCAAUUUUUUUCUAAUAGUCGGUCCAUUCUUUUUUAAUCUUUGAUUAAUGAGCAGAAUUCACAUACUUUGUUUUUGCUUAUAGCUCAAUAAAUCUGUCUUCAAUUUAACGAAUAAAUGAUACAUAAUAACGAAUAAAUGGCAUUCAAUUUAAACAUUAACAGUGAUUAAUCUUCAAUUGGCCAUUCUAUAUCACUACCAAUUGACCAUGCAGUUUCUUGAGCUGUAGCAGACUCUUCCACUACGAUUUCAUCAACUGAUUGGCUUGCCUGCAAAGCAAAUUAAACCUUCACUUAUUACUGUUUGCUUUUGAUGAUUGAUGAUGAAGAAAGUAAAGCCAGUUUUCCAAAAUUGAACAAAGGAUGUCAUAUUAAGAACAAGAACUGUGAAUUGAAAAUAAUAAUGCAACAAUGAUAUCUAGAAAGAAAUAUUGACAGCCAACGGAAACCGAUUACAGUUGAUGCAAUUUCAUUUAAAGGAUUAGAAAAAAAGAAUUUCUCUCAGGCUACCAAAAUAAAAAUAUUGCAUUAGUGCAUAGAAAUUAAAGCUUAGUAAAAAUAUAGAGUUUGGGAGAAUAAUGUACCUGUGUUUUGGCAUGCACUGAUUGCUUUGAAUCAACACUAAAUCUUGUGGUUACAUUGGGACAACCUUUUACUUUUAAACACCUCAAAGAUUGGAAAACAAAAUGAUAACCCACAGGGCUGAAGCGCACGAGGUUUGGUAGCUCCUCAAGCACUAAGUAACGGAGCUGAGGUAGGCGUAUCACUUUCUCUUCUUCCUUACUCACAUUUGACUCAUCUCCUUCAAACACCUGCUCUAAUUUGGAGACCCUUUUAAGGUGUAAUCGAUCUAGGUUUGGAAGGCCGCCAUGAGCAAGAGUAAUGGGGAAGAGACAUUUCAAGUUUUCACAGUUAAAGAUUUUAUCCAGAAUAUUCAAAUAACUCUUCAAAAUUGGAAAUUGUCAAAUAUUUAUUACAUGUUGAUGUUCCUCCUCUCCUUUCAGGGACUGCCACAUUGCUUAUUUGCUUCUUUUCUGUCAUCUCCGAGAAGUACAAUUCCUAUAAACAUAUCACCAAUUUAAGAAUAAGCAGAAGAUUUCUUUUUCAAUCUUUUAUAGUCAAAGAAUUUAAAUUUUUAAAAAGUUUACCGUUCAACUCAAAUAAUCAUAAAUUGCAAAAAAAAAAUGUCCAAAAAUAUGGUGCAAAAACACAACAUAAAUAAUAUUACGUAGUACUAGAUAGUGUUUGCAAUAUACAUAUAAGAAACAUAAAUAAUAUAUAAUUCUCAUAUAGAUUAUAAAAGUAUUCAGAUGAAAUGUUAUUUAUGUUACUAAUUGGUAUUGUAAUUAACUAAACUACUUAAAAGGUUUAUUUAGAUUAGUUUUUAGACAAAAAUUCUAAAUGAAAACUUUUUUUUUAAAGAGUUAUACAAGCAUUUAUUUUAUAAAAAAAAAAUCAAAAGGUGAAUAUUUUAAUAAAUAAUAUAUAUAAGAAGGUCUUACUUGCAUAUUAGUUGGAACGAUAAAAGGUGUCAAUUAAGGACAAUCUCUCACUAUUAGCACGUGUAAAGAUGACGAUGUCAGCACGAUGUCGUUUCUAUCCCUUCCUUUCAAUUGAGGCAAAUUAAUCAAUUGAACUUUAUUCAAUCAAGCAAGACCUUGUGACAUUGAGAUUAACACUUCUGGUCCUUGGAUUAUUUCUUGUAAUUGGGAACAGCUCUCUAUCCUCAGAGUUUGCAAUUGCCCAAGACUUUUAGCAACACACAUUGGGAAGAGAAAUUUCAACUUAUUGCAUUCUGUGACUUGUACUUCCCUUAGGCAUUUGAAGCUUAUGGUUGACAGUUGUGAGUGUUGGAUUAUUUAAUCCAUUCCAAAGCACCUCUUUAUCUUAAGAGUUUGCAAAUUGGGCGCAUUUAGUUUUUUAGAGAUACCUUGAGCAACAAUAAUUGGAAAGUGAGAUUUCAGGCUUUCACAUUCCAAGAUAUCAAUUCGAAUCAGAUUUGGAAAGCAAAUAGGUAGGGGAUGAUGUUGUGAUGACGUUUGAUCUUGCUCCGAUUCCUCGUAUUUACAUGAAUGCAAAUUGCUCAAUUGUUCAUUUGUCAUCUUCCCAAUCACCAAUUCCUAUAAACAUAUCAUCAAUUUUCAAUUUCAAAAUGUUCAAAGUUGUCAACAACUAACUUAACAUUUCAUCAAUUAAUUUCCUUACAAAAAAAUUAUUUUACCUUAAAUCAAUAUUAUACUCCAAAAAUAGGUACAAAAACAGUCAUAAAUAAUAUCACAUAAUCUAUACAUAUAAAUUAUUGGACAGGUGUAACAAUGUAAUUGAGAAUUACUUAAACUCAUUUUCAUAUAUUAAUACAAAAAAAAAACCACUUGUGUAAAAGGCUAUAUUUAAAAAAAUAUAUAUAUAUUUUUUCUAGUUUAUUUUUUAAUACAAAUUCUAAAAUCAUCUAUAAUUCCUUCCCACAUUUAAAUAGAAAGAUACAAACACUUGAGUGUACUCGAACCUAUAUCCUCCUAUUCAGACAAUAAUAUUGAUACCAACUAAACUAAAACUUAUAUAUAAUUUUAUAUAGCUUAUUUUUGUUUACCCACAUAAUAGGUAUAAUAUAAUUUAGUAUUAGAUAAAUAGUUUGCAACAUAACAAAAUAUAAAGUUUGGAUAAUUUUUUUUUUUUUGAAAAUUUCAAAAUCCAAAUAGUCUUUUAGUUCUUACUUGCUUCAAGAAAAACAUAAAGAACUUCAAUUAGGUUGGGUUUUUUUUUUCCUUUUUUUGAGCAAAAGUAAGUAAAACUUAAUACAAAAAGAAAGGAACUUGAAGAAAGGGAAAAAAAAACAAAAUAGAAAUCAAGGUUGAACUAAAAUAAGGAGAAACUUUCAGAAAGAAAUUGAAGUUGAUCUGCCUUGGUUUUCUUGGUUUAGUAGCCGAAGGAUUUGGGUUUUCCUUUGCAACAAGUUGGUGCUAAUUGGUUUGCCAAUGACCCAUACAUUUGUUUGGGAAUUAACAGCCACAUGACAUGAAAUAUCUACUUUUAAAAUAUCAACUUAGAAAAAAGUGAAAGUCUUUGUGUUAAUUAUUUAUAUGAUUUUCACAACAUUUAAAAUAUCUACUUUUCUUCAGUUUCUUUUUCUUAAUUUUCAUUUGUUAUUAGAAAUGAAAAUGUUUUUUCUUUAUUCAUUUUUAUACAUUUAAGGUGUAUUUUCUUUUAUUUAUUUGUUUCCAAAUUUUAGAGACAAACGUAAGUAUACUUGUUAAAUUUUAUUUAUUUUUAUUAUAUAUAAAGCUCUUUUCCUCAAAAUUAACUAUAAAUAACAAUAGAGUUUUUGAAAUUUCAAACUCAUACGAGAGAUUUUCAAAAAUUCCAAUGUUAAAAUUAUGGAUUUGGAUUAAAUUAUCCAAAAAUGCCGAAAAAUAAAAUUUACCAGAAUAGGUAAUCUUUUGUAAAAAUUAUAGGAGUAGGCCAAUUUUACAAAAACACUCCUAGUUAUAAGCGUUAUAGCUAAUUUGCAGAAAAACCCUUCCAGUUGGAAGCGUUUUUAAUGUGUUGCCAAAAAAAAAAACGCUUCCAGCUGAAAGCGCUUUCUACCAAAUCAACUGAAAACGCUUCUACCUAAAAGCGUUUUUCCCCAACGAUAACUCCAAUGACUACUUUCUCCAAUGACUAUUUAAUUAGCCAUUGGACUUGGACCCCCACCCACCCUUUAUGGUUCCAUUUUAUUUCCUAUAUAACCCUUUCCCAUUUCAUUUUUCUUCUAAUUCAAUCUCAAAUCUCUCUCAAAUUUCUCUAAAUUCCCUCUUAAAUUCCCGCUCAAAAUUUAUUUCUCUCUCAACUUUAUUUUUUAUUAAAAUUAUCUCAACAUUUUUAUAAAUUAUUUUUUAUUACAAAUUAUUCGGCAUUUUUCAAAAUUAGCAAUGACAAAAUCUCUAAUUCGUUUUGAUGACAACUGCAUUUCCGUUGACCAAUUGCAAAUGGUAAGAAUAUUUUUUAUCAUAUUUCAAUGUUGUUUCUUUUUACUAUUUUCUUGUUAUAUUUGAAUUUAAUAUUUUGUAUAUUUUUUUACCUAAAUAGGAAGAAUAUCAAAUUUUGGAGACGUAUAUUCAUAAUCUAUCCACUCCUCCAUCACCCUUGAUCGAACCCACUUGAGAUCUUGAUUUUCGUAUGUGACCCUUGUAGGUAAGGGGUGUAAGUUAGACUCGACACUCGUAAACGCGUUAGUGGAAAAGUGGAAACCCGAGACGUACACAUUUCAUCUUCCAUGAGGCGUGUGUACUAUCACUUUGGAGGACAUGCAACUAUAGCUUAGGUUACCGGUGGAUGGACUGGAAGUGACUGGGUCAGUUCAAGCAGCCGAUUGGAAAGACGUAUGCAAGGAACUUUUAAUGAGGGUUCUAGAGAUGGUUUUUGGAGCCCAGAUAGAUAUGAGUUGGUUAAGAAGAAAUUUUGGUGGGCUUGAUGAGGAUUCAACUGAAGUCUAAAAUAAUAACACGCUUGGGUUGUAACACCCCAAAACCCGGCCUAGAAGUUAUGACUAGAUACUCAGGGAUUAAAUCAACUCGUUCAAAGCUUCGAUUCAAAUCAAACUCAAUGUAUGCUUCGAAAACAUAAAAUUUUGGCAAAACACCCAUAGAUGGUUAGAAAAGCCGAGUUCGAAAACACUUAUUUAAAACCCGUAAUUCAUAUUCAAAAUCACGCGUUUUGAAAGUACUAACGUGAGCAGAUCAUUUCCAAUAUUAAAAAAAUCAUUCGUUACAAACCAUAUAUUUUAUUUUCAAAAAAUACUUAAAUGAUUACUUAACCUUGUAGCGAAAAAUUUUCGAAGUUUGUUUUAGUUUGAAAACUGAAAUCUAACUUGUUAGCUCGUGUGAUUUGCAGUUUAAUGCUCAAAAAUAUUAAUGUCGACGAAUAAAACAAAAACCAAAACUAGGACAAAAAACAUAUUACAGUCCAAAAAUAAUUAAAUCAUAAACCCACAAAUAUUUUAUUUGGUAACCAAUCCGAGCUCUCGCACAUCGUUCGGUCCUAAGUCAGAAGUUAACCUAAAACGAAUUAAACAAACAAAAGAGAUAGGAGCCCAGUGUGUGUCUCAACCCACUAGCAUAAUUUUUAUUUAACAAGCACAUGCGUAAAUGUGAUCACAAAAUUUUACUUUAAUGUAUCAAUAACAUAUCAGAAUGUUGUAUUACCAUAAACAUAUAUAUUUCAGAUCAUAAUAUCAUAAAACCGGAACAUAUUUUGGUUUGGAAUAUCAUAAUUUCAUAUACAAAUAUAUCAUAACAGAAUGUCAUGUUUUCAAAAGUGCAUAUGUCAUACCAGACCAGAACAAAUGCAGAGACAAAUCCUACCUUCAUCUGCUACACACCAACUCCGUCCAACGAAUCACACCAUUUAGGACUUCAAGAGUCCAUCCAUCCAAAUCACACCGGAUCGUGGUGGUAUGCCACUCAUAAUAGUGCAGCUCAGUUCCCAAACAUAUAUCACGGUUUAACCGCCGAAAAUGCAAUAAUGCUACUAGAAAACACUUCUUUCAACAAAUCAGAACCACCCAAUACAUAUGCUAAAUCACGUUGACAUACAUAUCACAUAGUUUGUAUGCACGCAUACAUAAACAAAUAUUAUACGAAACGUAACUUACAUAUAAUUCAUAUAGAUCAUAGCAUAUCAUAUUCAUGGUCGAAUUGGAUAGCUUAUCAGAACAGAUAAAAAAAUAUGUAUAACACACAUGGUUUACAAAAUAGUCAUGCUUAAUCACAUACCUACUUAUAGCAGAUAAUAUCGCAUUAUUAUAUUUAUCAAAAUUUAUUUAACAUACUUCCUACACUUACCCAUGUUUGUUUUACUAAAAAUUAUGCUUUCUAGGCUUACAUAAUGCCCCCAGAUCCAAAUUCUGAGUCCUUUAGUCGACCCCUAAUUGGCCUAAAAGACCCACUUAGCCCAAAAAGCUAGCCCGUAUGGUCCACAUGGUUUAUCCACAUGAUUUGUAUGAUAUCACACGGCAGUGUGAGAACACAACCUGCAUGACAAGCCAUAUGAAUUGUAAAAACACACAUGGUUGUGUGCCCCACACGGGCUACAAAAUCACUCACGGUUGUAUAUCUCUCACGACCUACCACACGGUUAUGUGUCACUAGGCAGUUUCAGAAAACAACUUUGUUUUGCAUAUUUUUUGAAUUUUUGAUGAGUUUUUCGAGUUAGAUCACACGCCUGAUUGCUGAUUUUGAUGUAGAUUCAUGAAAGAACACACCAGAACCUAAAAUCAAUAUUCCAAAUGUAUCAAAUUAGCAACAAAAUGCAACACUAAAUCAAGAUUGACUCACUAACAUAACAUUAAAGCACCUAGCACAAAGAAAACAACAACAACAAUAUCUAAGUCGUCGAAGGAGUGCCCAACACCUCUCGUUCUUCUUCUAAAAAUGCUUCGAACUCAUUAAGUACACAAAAUACACAUUAAUACCACACUAUUAAAGCUUUAAAACCCUAAAUGCCCAAUAAAGUAAUUUUAAAACAUGGCUGGAAAAAUGGAGGAUGAAGCAACCUUACCCUUAAUGACUAAAACUAAUAGCACAAAGGACGAAUGAUACACAAAUUAACAAAAGAAUAAAAAAAGAAGAGAGAAAAAAAGCAUGAAAAACUGAAAAACCAACCAUAAAGAAAUAAACUAAAGAGAAAGUGAAGAGGGAGGGAGAGAGUAAGGGGAUGGUAUCUUUAUGGAAGAAAGUUCUGCAGUUUGGAUAUAAGGGCAAGUUAACAAUGAAGAAUGCUUAAGAAAUGAGAUUCAAUUGAAGUUAACAAUGAAGAAUGCUUAAGAAAUGAGAUUCAAUUGAAGUUAACAAUGAAGAAUGCUUUUAAUGUGCCCAACAUUAGACCAAGACAAAUAAUUGUAAGUUUUGUCAAAAAUCUUAAUUUUCUUUUUUAAUCUUUCAUUAAUGAGCAGAAUUCUCAUACUUUGUUUUUUCUUAUAGCUCAAUAAAUCUUUCUUCACUCACAAGAAAAACAAAAAGUAAGUGGUACAUAAUAACAAAUAAAUGGCAUGUAGUUUUCUAAAUUAACUUCUUAAAUAGAAAUAACUUCUUUUACUGCUCUAUUCAUUUUAAAAUUCCUCUUUGGCCCACCAUUCUAUAUCACUACCAAUUGGCCAUGCAGUUUGUUGAGCUGUAGCGGAUUCUUCCACUAUAACCGAUUUCGUUGCUCAUUAUCUGACGUGCCAGGAAGUUAAGAUUCCCUUAUAAAAAUGGGAGUGUGUAAUGAUGGGCUUCAUUAGUGGGUUGCCUUCAACACUUACUAAGAAGGAUUCUGUAUAGGUCAUCGUGGAUCGAUUGAUCAAGUCUGCCCAUUUUAUUCCAGUUUGGACAGAUUAUUCUUUGCAGAAGUUGGCCAAGCUCUAUAUUUCUAAGAUUGUGAGACUUCAUGGGGUUCUAGUUUCGAUAAUUUUAGAUAGAGAUUCUUGAUUCACGUCUCGAUUUUAAAAAACUUCAUGAGACUCUGGUUUCGAGAUUGAACUUUAGUACUGCAUUUCAUCCUUAGGCCGAUGGUCAAUCUGGGUGGGUAAUUCAGAUACUGGAGGAUAUACUUUGGAGUUGUGUAAUUGAUUUUCGAGGUAGUUAAGAGGAUUUCCUGCCUUUGGUUGAGUUCGCCUACAACAAUAGUUUUCAGUCUAGCAUCCAGAUGGCAUCUUACGAAGCUGUGUAUGGUCGUAAGUGUCGUACUCCACUAUGUUGGACUGAGCUGGGGGAGCGACGUGUUUUGGGUCCUAAGUUGGUUUUUGAAACUGAGGGCAAUGUCAGAUUAAUUCGGGAUCAUCUUAAGACAGCUUUUGAUAGAUAGAAGUCAUAUGCAGAUCUGAAAAGGAAGGAUAUCUAUUACUCUAGGGGUGACUUCAUUUUUCAUAAGGUAUCUUUGUGGAAGAAAGUUCUAGGUUUAGAAGUAAGGGCAAGUUGAGCCCUAAGUUCAUUGGGCUGUAUCGGAUUCUGAAGCUUGUGAGACUGGUCACUUAUCAGUUAGAGUUACCUCUGAAGUUAGACCGUAUCCUUAACGUAUUUCAUGUCUCUAUGUUGAGGAGGUAUCGGUCUAACCCAUAUCAUGUUGUUUCUGUUGAGGAGAUUAAGGUUAGACCGGGUUUGACAUUUAAGGAUGAGCUAGUUUAAAUUUUAGAUCGACAUGUAAAGGCUUUGAGGAGGAAGUCUAUUCCGUUAGUUAAGGUUUUAUGGUGAAAUCAUGGCAUUGAGGAAGCCACGUGGGAACUUGAGGACUCGAUGCGUCAGUAGUAUCCUCAUCUGUUCGGAUCAGAUAAAUUUCGAGGCUGAAAUUUCUUUUAGGGGGUAGAGUUGUAAUGCCCUGACUAAUUUUACUUUGUUUUUGAGAAUUUUAUCAUAAAUGUGUAUCUACUUUAGUGGCUAACUGUUCUGGGUGUGUGUUUGAGGUCUUGGGUUUAAGCCCUACUGUUGGGAAAAUAAGUUAUUUUUUAUCCUAGCCUAUUCCUUGACGAUUGGGUUUAUAUCUUAUCUUCAGUAAACUUAUAUCAGAAUGAGCUUGCUGGUUCGAGUGGUAAGGUGUUAGCUUGUCUUGAGGUCUUGUGUUUGAGUCCUUGUGUGAAUUGGAAUGAUAAUUUUUGCUUCGGUUGUCAGAUAGAGAUUCGGUGAAACUAAAACUUUAAGGUAGUUGGAUGUGGUUAGUUGGUAGGAUUCUAAGAGAUAAGGUAGGUAGUGGGGGGAGUUAGGAUUUUCUGUUACCUUUGAUUUAGUUUUUAUUUUUUAAAUUUUAUUUUUGAUUUUUCCCAAAACUCCUCCCCAUUUUCUCAUUUUUUUCCUUUCCUUUCUUCUCUCUAUUUUUUUUCUCUUUCUCUAAAAAAAUUCCUCCCUUUCCACUCUACAGUCUUUCGUUCCAACUAAACCAUGUGCCAUUGUUAUUUGACCGAUAUUGUGGUUUGCUCAUCACUCUCUUUUGUCUUAAAUUCCGAUUGUAAUUCGAUUUAGUAAGUUUGGGUAGGUGUAGUUAUUGCUUUUGGUUGGUGUUUCUUUAUUGACGGUGUUUUUGUUAAUGCCAUUUAGGGGAAGACCAAGGGGCUCAGGAUUGUCCGUCGGUGACUUAGUUGCAAUGUAACUACCAUCGUUCGAUUGAAGGUAAUGGUUUGGUUGAAUAAUGGGUUGAAUGGAUCAUUUUGGUUUCGAUUUUAGUAUUGAUUUAAUCAACUAAUUCGGUGAUUUAUUGGUUAAUUGUAGGUUUUGGUUAUCUCGUGGGAGCAUUCGCAUCAAAUUUGAAUCAGAUGUGUAAUGAAAAUACGAGAAAACGAGGUUCGGUGAAAGUAAAAAAAGUGGCCAGUCGACGCCAAAUGACGAAAGCCGUGUGGUAUUUCUAUAAAUCGAACAUAAAAAUAAAAUUACAAUACAAUUAUAUGCUAAUGCUAUGCGAUAUUAUCACAUUCAUACUUUGAUUCAUAUCAUACUUAAUUUAAUAUUAUUCCUUCAUUACAUAACCAUUCACUACUUUAAUUUCCAAAUCACAUUUCGUUAUAUAAUUCAUUCCAUUACAUCAAAUUGCUAUUUAAUAACAUUUUCAUUUCCAAACCAUUAUCAUCUCAAGUCAUGAUUUUAGUUUUAUCAAUUACUUCCCCUAUUAACAUGCCUCAAACUCGGAUACGCGAAUCCAACCAACACAUCAAAGUUUGUCACCAAGUGCCUAACAAAUAAACCAUAGAAAUUAAUUGCACCCUGCGCUAGCCAGUAAAAUCAAAAAAUAAAUGUGCCCAGCACUGGUCAGUAUAAUUGACAAAUGGGGUGCCCAACACUCCAUGACACAUAGUUGUAAAACCUUAAACUCUUCCUAUCCUGUCGCAUGCCAAUUAUACCCAACCCUACCCGAACAGUUAAUAGGGUAAUAAUUUUCUCAAUUCAAUUUCUAACAAAUUACACAAUCAUACAUCACCAAUUAUCAAUUCAAUCAUUCAUUUACCAACAUAACAAAACAUCUCAUUUCCAUAUAGAAUAUAAUCUCACAUGCAUCUCAUUUCAGAAUAUAAUCUCACAUACAAUAUAUGCUAUUAUUACAGCUAUACAAUUUAAUCAUUUAUCACCAAUAAUUAUUUGAUCAUAACAAUUCAAUUCGAAUUUAUCAUUUUGCAACAUUACUCUAGUAAUUAACUUACCUUAUAUACUUACCUAAUAAUACAAUGUGUAAUAGUAAUAAAUACAAUAGUUUAGAUUAUAAAAACACCAACAAUAGAUUUCAAGCUAUUCGACAUUGACUUUAUCUUUCCCUUUCUUACUCGAGGAUUCCGAAACGACAUUUGCUAUGGAAUAAAACAAACCACACAUUUCAUCAAUACACAAACAAUUUCACAUUUAAAUAUCAAAUUAUGUAACUUUUGUACUUUAUUCAAUUUAGUCCCUAAAAUCGGGAAUAGCCUAACUUUCACAUUAAACCCUAAAUUUUUAUACUAAUUUCACUACAAGCCUAAUUUAAUUCCCUAUUUCUCAAUUUCAUCCCCUAAUUUUGAGUUUCUCACAAUUUAACCCAUUUCACUUCUAAUCUAAAAAUCUAUCAAAUUAGUCCCUAAAGCUUUAACUACUCAACAAUGGUAACAUCUAAAGUCUUAAGCAGCAUUGAAAAAUAAGACAUGGGUUGAAUGGAAAAAUAAAACACCGAAAUUCCAAAAACAUAAAAAUUACAAGAAAAUAAAUUGAAGCUUGAAUGCUUAAACCUCUAAUGCCGAAUACUUCUUCUUCUCCCUUUAAUUUCGGCUUGCAUGAAGAAAGAAUAAAAAUGUUUUUAUUUUAUGUUCCACUAACUUGUUUUAUGUUUUCUAUUAUAUUAUGUUUUAUGUUAUUAAUUUAUUUAUUCUAAUUAAAAAUUUACAACAUUUUUAACAUUUAAAACCAUGUUGCCGUCCACUUAUAAACCACAGGUAUAAUUACCUUUUAAGUCCCCUUAAAUAAUUUCUAAUUAGAAUUCUUUAGUAAUUCAUACGUUUAUCACUUACGCGAUUUAGUCUCUAUACUAAAAUUAAGCCUUAAUUCAAUUAAAUUUCUUAAUCGAAAUUCAAUUCGCUACUAAUAAAACUCUAUAAAUAUUUCAUAAAAAUAUUUACGAGUCCGGUUUAUGGAAACAGAGUCCCAAAACCUCACUUUCCGACACCACUGACUUUUAGAUUAUUUCAAGGAUGUUUGUCAAUUAAGCACUAACACAAAGAAAAUACUUGAGCUGAUAGAAAACAAUACAUGCUCACAAGUGUAUACAAGAAAAAGAUAAAUAAUUGAAGCACAAAGGUUGAGAAAAAGAGUUGUUGAUCUUUCUUGAUAGCUCUUAAUCUUUUGUAAUCUUUUUGUUGUUGUUGAACAUUUGAAAGCUGGUAUUGAUAGUCCCAAAUUGAUUUCCAACCAUUGUGGUUGUUGUGGAAUUGAAUAGAAUCAUUGGGUUGUAAAAACCAAUGCAUUAAUGUCACCUACAACAACAAGUAUCGAUACCUUUGGAGGGGUAUCGAUACUUUGGGCAUUUAAUGUCUCAAUUUAGUGAUCAUUAAAGCCUAUAGUAUCGAUACAAUAGGGUAUGUAUUGAUACUCGGACAAUUUAUUGUUUAAUUUUCAAAACAUUGAACCUUAAAACAGUAUCAUUACCAGGAGAAGGUAUCAAUAUAUUUGGUAAGGUAUCGAUACUUUGUAUUUUUCCUCAAUAUUUUUUUAGAAAUAGAAGCUCAAUUCGGUAUCGAUACUAUGAAAGAGUUUCGAUACUUUGGUCAAGGUAUUGAUACUCUUUUAUUCGUGCUCCUUUUUUUGAAUUUCGAAACUUAAUUCGGUAUCAAUACUAGAAAGGGGUGUCGAUACUUGAGGCUAAGGUAUCAAUAUCUUAUUUAGGGUAUCAACACUUUGAUCCCUGUGAGCAUUUUAACUUGUUUAAAAAUGUUAGAAAAAUUGUUUAUUGUAUUGAAGAACUUCCAAAAUAUUUUUCAAGUACUUGAAAGAUAUUUCUCUCUCAAAAUAUUUUGAAACAAAUUUUUACUUUCAAAUUUAUCAAGUUUUAUUUCAAAAACAAGUUUUACUCAAAAACAUUAUAUUUUUUAUAUCAAAACUCUUAUCAAAUUAAGGCUUGACUUAACAAAAUAUAAUCUUUAAACAUUACAUCUAAAUAUUAAAUAUUAAAAAUAAAUUUAUAAACAUAUAAUAUACAAUUUAUUGUUAUAAACUAAUAAAUAAUUCAUUAAAAUUAAUGUUUUAAUUAACAUCUCUAUGAGAAAAAUGACAAUUUAAUUCUUUUUAAAAGUUUAAUAACCAAAUUUAGAUUAAAAAACAAGAGUCAAAUUUAAUAAAAAUAUAUAAAAAUUGAGGGCUAAAAUUGUCAUUAUACUUUUAAUUAAUUCUUUUUCUUUCACCUAUGCAAUUCUAUAAUUACAUUACAAAGCUAUUCCAUCCAAAACCAAAAGAAGUAAAUUUGUGGUUGAGCCGGAAGAUAGCAUAAAUAGAAAACUUGAUGCCUGUGAAGCUAAAACUCUCCCUAUGUAUAGAUAAGCAACUUCGUACACAUCACUUCUCUAGUUGUUGCGGUUGCCACUAUAUUAAUUUUUUCACUCCUCAAUUACAACACUAAAUACUAUUAUAAGUAAACAACAUUAUUGAAAAGUGAACUAUUAGUUAAUGAAGUCCUUGAGUGUUGGGGAGAAGCAAAAAAAUAAAAAUUAAAACUAGGGGAUAAAUUUAAAUUGUAAUUUUUACAAUAAUAAAAAUGCAAUUCCGCAAUUUUAAUACUUUAAUUUAUAAGGAUUAAAUCAAUUUUUUUUAUCAUUUUUAAGAGGGACCAAAAUGUAAUUUUACCUUUACUAUUUAAAAUUUAAAAAAAAAUUAAAGAGCUUCAAUAAAAAAAAUCAUUUUUGGGGUCGGACCUACAAGCCCCUAAUUAUGCUACUACUUGGGUGGAUGCAAUACAAAAAGUUUUUGAUAUUUGAAACUCCAAAAAAAAAAAAUUGACUAUAAAUAUCAUGCAGAGGAUUAAAUGAAUGUCUUUGUUACAUGGUAUGGUUGUAAAUGUAGUAUCGUUUACUGUUUUUCAAUAUUCUUAAAUAUUUUGAAGGGUGUUAGAGAGUUGUAUUUCUACAUUUAUAUUUGGAUAUUCGUCGUAAAUUAUGAGUGUAAUACUUGAAUUUGUAAGUUAUUCAAGUUUGAAAAAAGUUCGAUUUGAUAAUUAUCAAUCGAGUUUAAAUUCAAACAAUUCGAAUUAUGAAUUAAGUUAAAAGUCAAACAUCUUAAUAUUUGAUUAAAGUAUCUUGCGAGCAAUCGACCUUCUUAUAUAUUCUUUAAUUAAUUUUCAUACUGUGCAAUGUAUAGAUUUAUUGUAUGUAUUUAUAUAAAAAAAAGUUAAUAUAAAAUUUGUAUUUAAAUAUCAUGGAAAAAAAAAUUAAAAUGCACGUAACUUCUAUACAAUAAAUUAAGUGCUAAAUUAGAGAUAUGAUUGAAUGACUGAAAACAUGAAUAUAACUUACAUUUGAUUUGUGCCAGUAGAGUAACGUGUUAGAAACAUAAAAGUUUUGGCUCCUUACUAAGGUUACUAUAGUAAAUACAGAAAAUAAUCUUGGAAAAUUUAUAAUCUUAGAGGCUCAUAUAAUUUUUUUAAAAAUAUAUUGAUUUUGAUCUUGACUGUUGAUAUAAAUUAAAUUGUACUAUUGAAUCUGAAGAAGCUCAACUAUAAAUAGAGACCGUCCCAUUUGUAAUCACCCCAUUGUAGCUCAUAUUCUUGAUUAAGAUCAUACUUUUACGAGUAUUAAAUCGAACAUUCGGCAUGGUUAUUGCUUUUUUGUAGCUUUUUUUGUUCUCUCGUUGUUUCUUUAUUUUUUCGGUGCCCACUUUCGAGAGUAAGAUUGAUUUAGGCGAAUUUGAAGCAAAAGAAUCACCCAAUACCACGCGAUUUGCAAGACUAUAAAGUUUUAGGCGCGUGACAAAAUUUUGUGGUUGUAAUUUGCUCCAAUAUUACAUUUGCUUUACUAGUUUAAAGUGUAAAGAUUAAGGACACAGAUUUGAAUUACUUCUAUGAUUGUCAUCAUUUAUUUCAGGGAAAUGUAGGCUUAAUGGAAAGCCACUUUAUAUUCAAUAGAUGGUUAUUGUUAAGGUAUUAUUUACUUCGAAACCAAGACUGUUCAAACAUGGAUGAAGAGUGAAGAGAUCAAUCUAUUUUUUGUUUUCCUUGAUGAAAAUCUAUGGUUUUUUUUAAAAAAAAAUUUAUCUAGUAAAAAUAACUUUCCAUCCUCAAUUUGCAGCUAUGUCAUUAGCAACAAUUAUAUUAAUAUGUUAUUGCUUAUACUUGUUCUUUGAAGGUGGAAUUAUGUGUUCCAAACCUUGAAAUUCCUGGCGUUGUACUUGAUUUAUGAUCGGCUAUCACUUCUGCAUUUUGCAAAGAAAACUGAUGCGAAGCAGAGUUUUAAAGCUUUUACGAGCUUUGGUUUCCAUUACUGAAGCCGUCUCUGAUUGUCCUAAAACAAUAAGAGUUGUUUCUAAUGAUCUGAAUGGUUUUCCCCAAUCAGAAUUAGACCAGUUUCCUAAUAGUUUGAAACAAGCUUCGAAAAUCACCAGGUCCAAUGAGUUUUCACAGUCCACAGCAAUGUAAAGAACUGCAACCUGAAGGAGAUUUGAAGUCAAAUUCCACUCCGAGCUGGCUGAAUUGGGUGUGUGGUGAUGAGUUUAGGGAGCUGAUUGGUGAUUGUAUUCUAGUGUCUCUAGUAAAAUUUUUAAAGAAGAAUCAAUAUGUUGAAUUCUGAAUCUAAGGGGUUUAACUUUGGAUUUGAACUCCAUAAAUCUCACUGUUUUUAAUCUGAAUUAUAAAAGUGAGUACUUUUGGAUUGGGUUGUACUUAGCAGAGAACUUGUGUUCCUUAUACUUCAAUUCCUUGAUGAGGAGAAAUUUAAAGACACUGUUCAUAAUUAUGCUCUUAUCUCCGCAUUCUUUGUUUUUGCUCUUUUCUUUUAUUCUAUCUUUUUAUAAUUUAAAUCUUUUAAUCUGUUCAUGCAUUUUUUUUGUGUAUUUGUUGAUUAAUAUGUUUAAAUUGAAUAGAUUGGAGCAAGAGUCGGGUUUCUAAAUAUCUCACCUGGAGGAGGACUACAAGCAGCUCAGUUUCAUUCUGGUAUUCGUUCUCCUACAAAGCAUUUUUAACUAUUCAAAUUUUCAUAUACAGGUUAAUUCUCAUCGUAGACCCUGUACAAGGCAUAGUUUUGUGUUGAGGUUAAAUUUAAAAUAGGGUUAUGGUUGAUUAGAUUUAUGGGUGUCUUGGUAUAACUAGUCAAGGCAUAGUUUUUGUGUGGAGGAGUUGGUAUUGGGAAAUGAUGAACACUAGUGCUGGUCUUCUUAUGAAAUUUGUUUAAGAUCUGAUGGCCUUCUUUAUUAAGUAUUGCUUUUCUUUGGCGAGGGCAGCUUGGAAUAAAUUCUUCCAUUUUAUUGGCCUUCUUUAAAGUUAAAAGUCAAUAUUCCAUUAGUACAUAAAUCUCAUUUUAUUGGGAGACUAAUGCUUCCAUAUAAAGUGCUUCCAUAAAUUAUUCUUCUAUUUUCACAAAUUUUGAUAUUUGUUUCCGUGAUUGGAAAAAAUUAAAGGUUAAAUACUUUUUUUUUAAAUUAGUAUUUUUAUCAAAUUUUGCUUAAAAUUUGUUAAAUGUUUUGUUUGUCAAAAAAAAUUGCUUAAUAUAUACCAUAUGUUUAUUAAAUUUAUAAUAAUUUGUGUAAUACCCCCUACCCGUAUUAGUCGCCGAAAUAGAGUAUGAGGCAUUACUAGAUUUUACCGAAUAAAUUUUUUUUUAAAACUCAAUAUAACCCCUUUAUAAAUAUCUAAUCUUCCCUGUAAAUUUUAAACCGAGACCAAUCCAACACAACCAAUCCAUUUCAAUAUAUUUUCAAGAUAGAUUUAUUGUAUUCAUAAGAUAAUCUCAUCACAUACCAAAACCAAAAUUUGUUAGCCAUACCAAUGGCUAACCAUACAUUCAUUUCACAUUAACAUCUACUUUACUAGCUUAUACAUGCCAUUGAUUUCCAAAAUAAAGUUUCUUUAUAUACCGAUAUCUUAAGGUUGAUAGUGUGAUGCGUCUCCGACCAAAUCCGACCUCUGAGCUCUUAACACUACAAAACAGGGGAAAAGGAAACAGGGUAAGCACUUUGUGCUUAGUAAGCUCAUGUAAUAAGAAUUAUACUUACCUAAUAUUUUCAAUACAAUGCAAUAAACAUUCAUACAUCCAUUCAAUACAUUAUUCCCCUAUCAUGCACAAACUCAACAUUCAAAUUAGUCCAAUAAUUUCCAUAUGUAUCAAAUAUAUAUAUCAUGAUUGAUGAGCUCAUCAAUUCCAUGAUUUCCAUUCCCUUGUUAUUUUUCCAUUAUCCCAUUGAACUUCUAGGAAUUUCGAUGGAUUUUCAGGGGUACACCUAAUUGUACAAAUCCGGGUCCGUCAAUUCAUAUUCAUGUGCGCACAUUUCCAUUUCAGAGAGCACACUCCCGCGAACCUCAUCCUUAGAGCGGGAUUACCAGUCCAGGCUAAAUCCCCUGUAAUAUAAACUCAUAAAGUAUUGUCGGGAUUACCAGUCCAGGCUAAAUCCCCUGCAACGACAAUUACUCUAAUGAGCUUGAAUCUGAAUUACCAAUCCAGGCUAAAUUCAGACCCUAAUUCGGAUUACCCGUCCGGGCUAAAUCCAUUUUCCACAUAUUCUUCGGGAGGGCUAUAUCAAAAUAGGAUCACCCGUCCGGGCUAGAUCCUUUUUACCGUCAAUUCCUUUUUAGAGAUCCAUCGAAUUUUCCUUCCAUUCAACCGGGAUUUCUUCCCCUUUUUAUCAAAUAUAUCAAUGUUUCAUCAAUUUUAAUAUAAUGAACAUUCAAAUCAUAUUCACAUCAAUAACAAACAUUUCAAGCAUUUAAGAAUAUAAUUCAAGUUAAACGAACUUACCUCGAUACUUGUUCGUAAACAAAAAUCUACUAAUCCCGAACUUUUUCUUUUCCUCGAUCUAGCUUCGUAUUUGAAUUCUCUAGAUCUAAAUAAAUAAAUUUAAUCAUUAAUCUAAUACAUUUCAUGUUCAUAUGUAACAUUCUCUAUAAUUCCAUUAUUAUUUAUAGUGCAUUCAAAGCUGUCUCGCUGAGUCACAGUCACUAAAUUAUUUAUAUCUUGAGCUACGGAACUCCAAAUUUAAGAUCCGUUAAUUUUUCCUUAAACUAUACUCACAUAUCUUCUUACCUUGAAAUUUUCAGAAUUUUUGGUUUAGCCAAUAAGUAGAGUUUAUUCUUUAAAGUUUCCCUUGUUUCACUGUUUGACAGUUCUGACCCCUCUUCACUAAAAAUUAAUUAUCUCAUUGUACAAAAUUAAAAUAAUGUUUCCGUUUGUUUAUUCUGAAAAUAGACUCAUUAAUAAUUCUUACCAUAUAAAUUAUAACUCAUAAUUAUUUGUUUACAAUUUUUAAUGAUUUUUCAAAUUCAGAACAGGGGAACCCAAAUUCAUUCUGACCUUGUCUCACAAAAUCUAUUAUAUCUCAUAAUUUACAAUUCCAUUGCUUACAAAAUUUCUUCUAUAAGAAACUAAACUCAAUAACAUUUAAUUUCAUAUUUUAUUCAUCCUCUAAUUCAAUUUCUAAAAUUUUUGGUGAUUUUUCAAAGUUAACCUACUGCUGCUGUCCAAAACUGUUUUAGUGCAUGAUGUUAAUUACCAUUUUUCCCUAAACUUUCAAUAAAUGAUAAUUUCAUCCCUGCUCAAUUUCACUAAACUACUUUAAAAUACUUUAUAAGCUUUGGAAAUCAGAAUUUUAGUACUAGACUUUAAUUCCAAACUUUUUCACAAUUAGGUCCUACAAAUCAAUUUCUAUUGAAAUUACCUAAUAAAAUCAUCUCAUAAACAAAUUAAAGCUUCAAUUUCAUCCUAUUCCAUCAUAAACUUCCAGCACAUAUUCAUAUAAACUUUCAAAUUCAUUCAUAAAAUCAAAAACUAAUGAAUUUAGUAAUAGGACCUAGUUGUAAAAGCCUUAGAAACACAAUAAUUACAAGAAAAAGGCAAGGAUUAACUCACUUGGUGCAAAAAUUAUGAAAAACCAGAUUGAAGAAACCCUUAGGAAUUUUUUGACUGAUGAGAAUGCAGAAAAAUAAAGAGAAAUCUAGAUAAUUCCACUUUAGUCCUAACUUUUAAAGCAAAUUUUGCAAUAUUCCAAUUUUACCCUUAAUUCUUCAAUUCUCCUCGAUUUUUCUCAGCUUAUGCCGCCCAAAAUAUCUCCUUUUGAGGUUAUUUGCAAUUUAUGUCCCUCCUCAUUUAACAAUUGAGCUAUUUAAUCCUUCUAGUAACUUUAACACAUUUUUCAAUUUAGUCCUUUUCACUUAAUUGACUAUCCAAACAUUAAAAUUUUCUAACGAAAUUUUAAUACCAUAUUAAUAACACUUCAUAAAUAUUUAUAAAAAUAUUUUUGACUCGGUUUUAUGAGAUUGAGGUCUCGAUACCUUAUUUUUACCCAAUUUCUUCAAUAAUUUCUUUUUCUAACUAACCACUAAAUCAAUAAAAUUUUUCUAUCGAUAUUUUUAUACGAUUUUCCUAUCAUAUCAAUAUUCAUGCAAAAAUAUUAAAAUAAAUUUCUCUUUAAAUCGGAUUUGUGGUUACGAAACCACUAUUCUGAUAACCUUGAAUUUGGGCCAUUACAAUUUGCUUCUAAAAUAGAGAUGGUUAGGUUUUAAUUAGUAUUAACGAUGGAACAAAGUAUUAAUAUAAUAAGUAUAACCAUUUAUAUUUUUUAAGUAUGAAAAAUAAAAUCCCUAAAGUAUGAACUUUUAAUGCAUAUCUUUAAUUUAUUUAGGUAAAGAUAUAUUUGAUUUUAUUUAAGAAUGAAUAAAAAAAUCAAGGAAUACAUAAUCACAUUACAAUGGCAUUGUAUUCAAAGUGUUUCUCAAAAUAACCAUCUCAACUUUUAAUAUAAUAUCAGAUUUAGUUAUUAAUAUUUAUAUUCUCUUAUCAAUUUCACCUUUCUUUUUUUAAAACUAAAUUUAGCUAUUAAUUUUUAAGCUCCAUAUAUACUUCCUUUUAAUAUGACAAUAUUUGUCUUAUAUAUCACGUCAAUAAAUAAUUUAAAAUUUUAAAAAAUAACAUAAAAUACACGUAGAUAAAUACAAUAAUUUAUCUUAUCAUUUAUUUAUUAUUAUUUUAAAACAAUGAAUUAGAUCUGUACAAAAGAAGUAUUCGAUAAGCUCAUUUGAAUUGUUACUCAAAUAACUCCAUUUUAAGCUCUCCUUAAUUGCAUUUGUAAGUACCUCAUCUUAUUUGCAUGUUUUAAUUUAAUACAACAUUUUUUUGAGAUAAAAUCCAUGUUAGUGAUUUGAAUUAAGGCAUAAUAUCUUACAUACCUCAUUGUGAUAUUACUAUUUUAGGUUAAAUGUAUUCAUUUAAUUAUAUAAGUAACACGUUCCUUUUUUUUAAGAUAUAAAUAAAUAAACAUAAAUAGUAAUAAACAUAUUAUAAAUAAAUAAAAGAAACACAUUAACAAUAGUAGUAUUUAUUAUAUAAUUAAACAAUAGUUUAUUUUAAAUGAUUUACUAAACCAGUUUUAAACUAGCAUGAAGAUAAUUAGUUUGGAUAUGUUUCAAUUAUAUUAGGUUAAUUUAAUAAAUAACUUUUAAAUUUUUAUUAAUGUUAAUUUAUUUAACUUAACGAACGGAUAUAAAUAAACAAAGAUCCAACUCAUAAACUAUUUAUUUACAGCUUUAUACUUGACUUAUACAUAUUUAGAACACUUAAGUAACGGUAAUUUAUUGUCAACUUUAGACUUCAAGAACUACGAAAUGGAUAAGAGUUUAAUGGAUUUGUGAACGAAUAUCAAAAUGGAGUACUAAAUUUGUUUGCAUUUAAAUUUUUAUAUUUAAAUAAUUUAUUUAAAGUGAUUGAUCUACAAGUUAACUCACUCAUUAACUUAUAUUUAUACUUGAUCUGAGAAAAUUUUAAUUUUUAUAAUUAAUAAAAUUUAAUUUACAAUUAAUUUUUACAUUAACCAACUAAACUUUUAUAAAGAAAAUUAGAAACCCCAUCGGUUAAAACUACUUAUUUUUCCUUUUAAAAAAUCUAGUUAUUUUUUUAAAAAAAGUAAUGUUUUAUUAUUUUAUAUAUUUAAUAUAAAAUUAUAUAAAUAUUUUAUUUUAUUUUUCAUUAUUCUUUACAUCCAUUUUAUGUUCAUGUUCGGGUUUAUUAAACUAAUAUUAAAAUUAUGCAUUUUAAUAUUUAUAUUAAUAUAUUAAUUUAAAAUAAAAACAUAUAUUUUAAUUUUUUAUUUAUAUACAUUAAUAUAUCAUUAUUUUAUUAUUUUAUUAUUUUUAAAAAAUUAAUAAUAUUAAUAUAUAUUUUUUAAAAUAAUUUUAUUUUAUUUUUAAUAUUUUAUAAAAACUAAAUGUUAUAAUAUUUUUUUUAUUUUAUUAUAUUUAAUGUAAAUAUUUUGUAAAUAAUAAUAUUUUAUAUUUUAUUUUAAACUAUAUAAAAAAGAUGUUAAGGGUAAGAUGAUAAAUUAAUAAAUAACGCUUAUGUUUUAACUCAUAGAAAAUACAUGAUAAGAAGAUUAACUGUUUGGCACAAGUGUAAGCCGUGUUACCUUAUCCCCUGCCCCUAAUAUUGUAUCGAAAAACGCUUGGUAAGAAGAGUGAUAUAUAUCCAAUUUUCAACAACCAAACAAUUUGAUGUAGUAGCAUCUAUCUUUUAUCCAUCAUUUGAAAGUUGAGUGUUAUUUAACACAACACUCCUCUUUUACAUCAAGCCUACCAAAUGUGACCAGACUAUCAAUUUGGCUAUGAUUCUAUAUAAAACGAUAAAAAAAUUGAGUUUUUUAAAAUUAGAAAUCUUGAAAAUACAUAAAUUUGAAAAUUAAAUAAAAAUAGAUAAAAUUUAAAAAAUAUAUAGAUAAGUGAGAGAAAAUUAGGGAAAAUUAUUUUUCAUUAUGAGAAAAGAAUGAGAAAAAAAGAUUAGAUUUGUUUUUUUUUUUUUAGUUUGGAUUUUGAAUAAUGUUGAAAAUUUUGAAGUUGUCGCAGGGUGUUAUGGGAAUUGCCCACUACCCCAACCAUUAUGACAAAACAACUUGCCAUAUUUGGAAGAUUGGCAAUUUAUUGAUCUGUAUCUUUAGAUUGAGCUGAUAUUGUAGAGCGAAUCAAGCUCAUCAAUAAAGAUCAUAUCACUUGGAGAAACUUAUUUAGAAGAUUAGAUCGGGUUGGAUUGGAUUGCUUAUAUCAAAUUCUAUGGAUAAAGGAAGUUGAAUCGGAUCGAAAAAGUAAAGAUUUAGCCGCCAACCAUCAAUGUUUAUUGUGGUUGUUUAUAUUAUAUUGUAUUUAGCUAUUUUAGUUGUUGUUUAGUAAGGAUUGUGAUAGAUCUUCAUUAUGUUAGCAAGUCUCGAAAUCUCUAUAUAAUUAAGAGACUUGUAUAGGUUGAUGCACAAAUUAUUAAGAGCAUUUAUAUGUUCAAGUGAGGAACAUUAUUUUGCAAGAGUGCAUUUGUGAUUGUAAAAUUUUGUAUUGUGUUGUGCAUUUGUGAGGAACAUUAUUUGUGAUUGUAUUAUUUAGUGGUGAGUGAUCUAGUCUUCGAAGGUAUAAGAGUGAGGAAUCAUCAUUGAGAUGUGAUACAUUUAGGUUCACUAGUUGUAAUUGUUUAAAUAUAGUGAUUCUUCUCAUUGACCAAGGCUUCACAAAUGUAUGGAAACUGAACUGCAUAAACAAAUUUUAAUGUUUCCUAUUUUGUUUUUGCUUAUCAUGGUGCUUGUAGAAGUGCACACUUUUGCAGUCACUACUGCUCAUACAUUGCUUGUUACUUAGCAACUAUUUUAGAUCAACAAAAAAUCAUUUAAAUGAAUUAAAUUUUAUUAAUAGAGUUUGAAAAAGAAUAUUUUCUUGUAUAUUUUGCAUUUUUUUUUACUAAAAGAAAGGGAUCAAAUUCAAUUUCACAAGUCUUAGUGAGAUUAGUUUGAAAGAAGUUCUUCAAUAGCAUGGAACUUGACUGGAAGGUGUUACUAAAUUUGUCAUAUUUUGUUUUAAAUUUGUUAUUGGAUUCUAUUGAAUAAUCUUUUUCUUUCUUAUGUCUCAGUAUUGAACAAUCUUGAGCUUUAUUACAACACAAGAACAUUAGUUUCUAAUCACAAUUAAGCUUUGUGCAAAAUGAAUAUUAUAUUAAGAUAUUGAAAUUGAUCUAUUUCUUUUAUCCAUUUUCAUGAUUUAUGGCAAUGUUGAAUAUUUUGCUGUAGAAAUCAUAAUUUUUAUAUAGAAUUUUCUAUUUUUUAAAAAUAAUAUUGAGUUUUUAAAAUUAAUUUUAUAUAGAAUAGGGUUAAAUGGAGAGAAAGUAUAAAAGUUAAGGGUUAAAAUUGUCAUUAUACUAACUAAAAAAGUGUGGUUGUUAGCUAUUUAAUAGUUGGGUAAAAAAAUAAUUUCAAAAACGUUAGUGGCCAAAUUGUAACUCUUUUAAUUAAAAGACACAUAAUUGAGGGAUUAAUAGUGUAAUUUAACCUUAUCUUUUUUAAACAUAUGGAUUAAUUCACAUUUAUUUGGAAUGUGUUAUUAAUUCACAUAUGAAUUUAAGUAGUGGUGGAGCUAGAAAAUAUUUUGGGGCUAAAAUUAAAUUGUAUAUUUUUAUGAUAGCAAGAAUGCAAUUUCACUAUUUUAUGAUAUCUUUAUAAUUUUUAAAGGAUUAAAUCAAUUUUUUUAUCAUUUUUGAGAUUAAAGUGUAAUUUUACUAUUAUUAAUUUAAAAUUUUAUAAAUUAUAAAGGACAUAAGUGAAAAAUUUUCCAUUAAUCAACACCCUUGGCUCUACCACUUGAUCGAACACAUAUCACGAGUCCUUUCCCGCGUGUGUCAGAUUUUGUUUAUAUGGUUGAAAUAUCAUCACAUGUAUUUAUGUUUGAAUACACAUCACAAAACCUUGAGUUGCUUCGGCAUGACCUAGAUAAAAAAAAAAUGGAGAAACAUGAAGGUAGCUUAGAAGAAUCCAAAAGCAAUAAACGAAAGCUAGACAAAAGGUUGAAAUCAUCAUUAACCAAGCCUUUACUUUUUCUAACUCCAGGAAGAGUCCAUAUUCGUUGAGAAAAUCGGCAAAGACUUUGGUAUCUUUUGGAAGGACUUGUAAAGAAACAAUUUUUUAUAUUUACGUUCUGUAAUGUUUUUCAUAUUAACAUUAUUGAUGUUUCUAAAUUUACCUUCUGUAAUGUUAGAGUUAGUUGAAGAGUCGUCAGAUUCUGGAGAGGAAUCAAUUUUUAGUCAUCAGCAUAGGAUGGAAGAUGAGAAGUUGCUGUCGGCAGUGUUGGGAGAGCAAAGGAGAAGGUAAUAAGGCUGCAACUCAAGAGGAUGAAGGCAAAUCAGAAAUUGGUAGAUGACAGAAUUGUGAAUAGGACUCUCAGAUUCUGGGUCCAACUUAUGCAAUAAUUCUAUGAUCUGGGAAGCGUGUAGAGAUCGACAAAUGAGUUUGCCGUGAUUGCUGCGGUCCUCUCCAACAAGAAGCCAAUUGUUUUGCAGACACAGUGGCAAUGGAUGGGAUGGAAAGUUUAUGGUUAAACUGUUCCCCUUAAAUUCACGUAAGUAUAAAAUAAAAUGUAAAUUAAUUUAAAAUUUUAAAAUAAUUUUAUUUUAAUUUUUAAGUCAAGAAUUUUGAUGAGUUAAAAUUAUAGGCUAAGGGCUUAUUUAAUUACAAAUAUAAUUUAAAAACUUGUUUAAACAAAGUGUAAUAAUUUAACGGAAUUUUUAAUAUAUUAGCCAAAGAAAUUCAUCUAAGUAACAAUGAAGAAUGCUUUUAAUGUGCCCAACAUUAGACCAAUACAAUAAUUGUAAGUUUUUGUAAAAAAUCUUAAUUUCAUUUUUUAAUCUUUUUUCUAAUAGUUAGUCCAUUCUUUUUUUAACCUUUGAUUAAUGAGCAGAAUUCACAUACUUUGUUUUUGGUUAUAGCUCAGUAAAUCUAUCUUCAAUUUAACGGAUAAAUGGUACAUAAUAACGAAUAAAUGGCAUUCAAUUUAAACAUUGACAAUGCUUAAUUUUCAAAUAGAAAUUUCUUCAUUUACUGCUCCAUUCAUUUUAAAAUUCAAAAUGUCUUUCAUCUUCCUCUUCGGUCCAACAUAUAUCACUACCAAUUGGCCAUGCAGUUUCUUGAGCUGUAGCAGAUUCUUCCACUAUAAUUUCAUCAACUGAUUGGCUUGCCUGCAAAGCAAAUUAAACCUUCACUUAUUACUGUUUGCUUUUAAUCAUUGAUGCUGAAGAAAGCAAAUCCAGUUUUCCAAAAUUGGACAAAGGAUGUCAUAUUGAAAAUAAUAAUGCAACAAUGAUAUCUAGAAAGAAAUAUUUAUUAACAUUAAUGGGAGACAACAUUAAUGGCAAACAAUACAAAGUGGUGCAAGUUUAGCACCCUAAAGUUGACUUUGAAAAAGUGGCAUGGGAUAAUUUUUUUGGUCCUUGAGAUAAUGGGCUAUUUAUUGUUUGGUCCUUAAACCUCAACUAUAAAUAGGCCUUCUCAUUUCUCAUUUCAAUCAUCCCAACCAAUCUUUCUCUCUUAGUUUUCUCUCUUCUCCCAUUUGAGAAUUCUCAAGGAAUUCUAUUUGUUUGUAAUAUUGUGAAGAUAGUAAAGUUAUCAUCUGGUGUUAGUGCCCGAAAUAAAUUAAAUUGUAUAUUUUUAUGAUAGCAAGAAUACAAUUUCACCAUUUUAAUAGUCUAUAUAUUUAUAAUUUUUAAAGGAUCUGAUAAUUUUUUUAUCAUUUUUGGGAUUAAAAUGUAAUUUUCUUAUUAUUAAUUUUAAAUUUUAUAAAUUAUAAAGGACCGAAGUAAAAAAAUUCCCAUUAAUCAACACCCUUGGCUCUACCACUUGAUCGAACACAUAUCAUGAGUCCCUUCCCACGUGUAUGGCUGAAAUAACAUCACAUGUAUUUAUGUUUGAAUACACAUCACAAAACCUUGAGUUGUUUCGGCAUGACCUAGAGAAAAAAAAAUGGAGAAACAUGAAGGUAGCUUAGAAGAAUCCAAAAGCAAUAAACGAAAGCUAGACAAAAGGUUGAAAUCAUCACUAACCAAGCCUUUACUUGUUCUAACUCCAGGAAGAGUCCAUAUUCGUUGAGAAAAUCGGCAAAGACUUUGGUAUCUUUUGGAAGGACUUGUAAAGAAAAUAUACCAAAUUAUUAAAUUAUUAAAUAUAUCUGGAUUUGCCCAAGUAAAUGGAAAAUAUACCCACUUACCACUUCAAAUUGAAGUAAUGAUUCCAAGAAUUUGAGUGUGGAUAAGAAAAUUCCAAACAGUCUUUUCAGCUCUGUUUUAGUUCAAGAAAAACAGAAAAAGGUAAUAUUAGAUCAAGAAAUAUAUAGCAAAAUUAUAUAUAAAAAAUCACAAUUAAACUUGGCUGUGCAUUUGUUUUGCAAUUAAAGACUUGACAGGAUAAGAGACGGGACGACCUAGAAAAGUGUGAAAGUCUUUGGGUCAGUUUUCACUUUUUCACCAUUACACAUCUACAUUUUUCAUAUUUGUUUCAUUUGAAGCGUCUUUCAAGAAAAUAUGUUCUUUUUCUUCUUAUUUUUCAUUUGCUAUCAGAAAUGAAGAAGAGUUUUCUUUAUUCAAAGUGAUUUUUAUAUUAUUUUGCAAAUUCUAGACAUAAAUUUCCAAUGUUUAUGUUAUAUAACUAGUUUUCCUUUCUUCAAAAUUAAAAAUGAAUAAGAACAUGCUUUUUAAUUUGAAAUUUCAUACCAGAUCAUGAAUUUGGGUAUCUUCAACAAAAAGUUGAGCUUUACAUAACAUGUUCCAUUGUCAUUUUGGUAUUUUUUUUCCCGUAAUCAAAAUAAUGUAUGAAAGAUAAAAUAUAUAAUUAAUACAUCACUUUUUAGAAAAUUUUAAACAAUGAUCAUUAACAGUCUCAAUAGUUUUAUGGGUAAAUUACAAUCAAAUUAUUAAAUUAUUAAUAAUGUCGAAAUCUUUUUGAAAUCAACUUUUGAUUUUUAAAAUGACGAGAAUGAGAGUUCAUCAAUCCUUUUUUAUUAGGUGUAAUCAAAUCACUUCGUAAUUUAAUCAUAUUAAUAAAAAUUUAAAUUUACUAAAACGACGAUUUUUGGUCUAUAAAAUCUAAGAAAUAAGUUCAGGAGUCGGUUAUGCACGAGGAAUGGUUAGUAUCCUCGUAACGUCUAAAAUUGGUACCUAAGUGAUUAAUUGGUGUCUUAAGGUCGAAAGUUAAAAAUUUGAAAAGAGUUUAAAAUACGACCCCCUCUUUUUAUUAAUGUAUUUUUUAAGUAAAAUCCCUUGAAUAAAUCAAAAGUGUGUAAAAUGUCCUCUUAUCUAGAGGUAACAAAAAGGCCAUAUCCUGUAAGUUAGGACACGCCAUCUAGAAUCCUCGAAAAUAAGUUUUCUCUUUAUUUAAUUACUAUUCAAAUCUCAAGUGUUUUAAUUUCGAAAGAGAUGUUCAUGAUCAGCUAUCUAGGUUCAAAGAGAACGUCGAACCCCAUAAGUUAACGCACGACUUCUCGAAUCUCCAAAUGCGGAACAUUGCCAUAAUUUUAAAAUUUUCCUUUUUAUGCAUCGAGUAAAAAUUAGUGUAACACUUAAAAUAGUAUAUAUUUAAUUUAUUCGGGCAUCGUACGAAAAACGGAAAAUCUGUUCAAACAAGGUUCGUGACAUGAUUGCGGUCAUAAUAAAAUUAAAUGAAGUAUAUAUAAAAAAUAAUGGUAUAUGGAAAAUAAAAAUGUUGUGCUAGUAAGUGGCAGUGCGAUAUCAAUUUGUAGUAAUAAUAACAUGAUAAUGAUAAACAUAAUAAAAUAUGAAUGUAUAAUAAUAUUAAUAUGAACAAUAAAUGUGCAAGUAAAACGUAAAUAAUCUAAUUUAAAAAAUAUAUUUAAAAAAUAAAUAAAUAAUGACGACAAUAAAGGCAAAAGCAGAAGAGAUAAAAAAUAAAAAUAAAAAAAUGCACAAUAAAUAAAAAACAAAUAAAUUUUAAAUAAAAAGGAAAUAAUAAGUAAAUAAAUCAAAUCAAAUCAAAUAAUAAAUAAAUAAAAAUAAUAAUACAUAAAAAUGAAUAAUCAAGAAAGGGUCGAAACUAAAUAAAUAAGGAUUAAGUCGACAUUGAAAUGAAAAGAGUAUUUUAUAUACUCUAAUGACCUACACACGGAAAUAACUGUACGUUGAGUAUUUUAUACUUAAUGGUAUUAUUAUAAUUUAAACUAUUUAAUAUUAAUAAAUUACAACAUCAACCAUAAGCUUUUUUUUUAAAUCGUUUAAACUAAUUAUACAUAAUUAUAUAUCACUUCAUAAAUCUUAAAUUCAUAUAUAUUUUUUAUAUACUAAUUCAAUUCAUAUUUUAAUUCAUACAUUCUUUCUCGUACUUUUCAAUAGUGUCAAAUCAAUCAAUCUCAUUUUCAAAUUUUCAUUUCAAUUAUUUACUCUAUUAACAAGGCUCGGACUCUGACAGAUACGUGGAUUCCACCCAAACACACUAGAAUAUCCAACCUAAUACACCCGGAAUAAUAUAAAUCCUCCAUAACACACCAGUAUAUCAUAUCAUCCCAAACACACCAAUAAGGAAUUAGAUGCCUCUUCGGAUAAACCGAAACAUAUAAUAACAAAAUCAUCUUCUCGGCCAAACUACAAAUCUCCUCAUCACAUUACAAAUCCUAUGACAUGCCAUUUGUAUCCAAUCUAGUCCGAUAAGUUAAUAGGGCAUUAUUUUACUUUUCCAAUUUCGAAUUCAUUUCCACAACAAUUUCAAAUAUUCAAUCAAUUCAAAACAUCUAUUAUUUCAAUUCACUUAAAAUUCAAUAUUCACACAUAUCUUAAUUUCAAAUUUAUUACUUACCUUACCUUAAAUAUCCCAUGAUUACAAUUUCAAUAUAGCAUUUAGUAAAUAGAUUAAAUUAUAGUAAUACAAACCCGGAAUAAGCGUUUACUCCUCAACGAUAUUUUCUUUUCCUUUGGAUGUCGAUGCCUCGUUUUCCUUGUUAGCUACGAAAAUAAUAAUUAUUUUCACUAUUAAUUACAACAUUAAAUUAUAAAAAAUAAUAAUAAUUAAAUUUUAUUCAAUUCAUGCUUAUUCCCAAUUUAAUUCUAACUAAGCUUACUUACAUUUCUAGCUUAAUUCAUAUUUCUUUUCUAUAUAAUUUAUUGUCAUAUUUAACUCAACUAUUCAAUAUUCAUAAUUAAACCCUAAUUUAAGACUUCUUAUAACUUAAUCCCAACUAUGUAAAACUUAUAGCUUACUUUACAAUUUGAUCCUUUAAUCAAUUCUAACUAAAAUUUCUAUCAAUUAAACCCCUAAUUGAUCAAUUUGUUCAACAUGAACUAUAUUCAAAAACUUAGGAAUUUCCAAAAUUUCAACUUGAUUUCAACAAAACUUUGUUCCAAAACUUUUAAAACAUCAAAACUAAGUAAAAAGGACUUAUUUGACUUACCAAUUAAAGCUUUAAGCUUCAAAAUCCAAGUUUUCCCUUUUCUUUUUCUUUUCUUCUUUCCUUUCACUAUUUCGAAUUGCUCUUUUCUUUUCUUCUUUGUUUUUUUUUUCUUUUACUUUUUAUUUACUUACUUUACUUUACUUUAUUUUAUUUGCUUUAUUUUUUUUAAUUACUAAAUAAUUAAUAUAAUAUCAAUAUAAAAUAUCUUAUGCUUAAAUAUUAAGUAAACCAAUUGUUUAAUUACAUUUGUACAUAUUUAUUUUAUUACACUUGUAUAAAUUUUAUACCAUUUAUUUAUCAAUUAUCUUAUUUAUUUAAUAAAAAUCUAUUUAACAACAAAUAAUAAUAUUACAAAUGUACAUAUAUAUUUUAUUUAUAAAUGUACAUUAUCAUCUAUACCAUACAUUUGUCAUCAUUUAUUUUAUUUAUCACACAAAAAAAUCUUAUAAUUUAAUUUUUUUAUCGAAUAAAUAUCUAUCUAAUAAUUUAAUAUAAUUAUUACAAAUGUAUAUACUUCUAUCAAUACAUUUGUAUUAAAUCACUACCAUACAUUUGUCUUUGUUUAACUUAUUUCAUAAUAUAAUAAUAAUAACAAUUAAUAUAAUUUAUUAUUUAAUAUUAAACCUUAAUGAUUAUCAAUGAAAUUUUAAUGAAAAAUAUCACAUAAAAAUCUUCAAUCUUACCCAGCUUACGCCGCCUCAUACUUAUGAAUUGGCUUAAUUAUCAUUUUGAUCCUUUAUACUUUCUUUUAAUCUAUAAUUAAACUUUUACCCUUUACUCUAUUUAGUCACUUUUCCUAAUUAUUCUUAAUUAGACUAAAUUCACCUAAUUAAUACCUAAUUAAGCACUCAACUAAACUCAUAAUUACUUCUAAUAAUUAUUUAUGACUCAGUUUACUAAGACGGUGGCCUGAUAAUGUACUUUUCAGAUGCUUGUGAAUUUUGGGUCAUUAUAACCAUCCUUCCAAAAACACGCAGAUCUUAGGGGCAUUCGGGUCGGGUCAUCAGGUCAGCCCCAAAACGACGUUGUUUUGGGGCGUUUUGGAACACCUCGAAACGGUGUCGUUUUGGCACCCUAUUUAGCUAAAAACAAAAGCUUCAAAAAAUUAUUUUUAAAACAGUUUAAAAAAAACACUUUGUUCUUUUUUUUUUCUCUCCAUCCCUCCCAAUCCGGCCUAGGGAGCCGCCAAGCUUCGCCGUGAUGGCCACCAAUCGCCGGUGACAGCUCCAUCUUCCACGGUGGCCAAAAAAUGAAAAAGGUACAUUUUUUCAGCCUUUUGACUUCCAAAGCCCAGAUCUGAGGACUAAGAGCCUAAAAAGGUAAAAAAAAAGAAAAAGAAAGUUUCGAUUUUUUUCUAUUCGCCUUUUUAAAAAAUAUAUAUAUGUUUUUUUUUCUUUUGAAAAAAGAAAUAAACAAAAAAAUGAAAUCACUUGAUCUGUUUUGAUUUCUUUUUUCGAUUAAUCUCAUUUUUUAAUAUUUUUUCCCCAAAAAUACUUUUUAAUCCGACCUUUAUAGCUGAUUUUUACAUAUUAUUUUUAUAUUUUUCUACUGUUUCAUACUGUUCAUUGCGUGUGUUGCUUCUUCUUGGCAGGGGUUGUUGGCAGUAGCAGAGGUAGGGUGCAGCGCUGACAUGGGAUGAGCAGCGGCGCCAGGGGCUAGGGGCUAAGGUUUCUUUUUUCUAAAAAGAUGUUUUGGGGAUAGAGUAAUUUUUUCCUGGUAUUGUCGAAUCUCGACUUCUUUGGUGUUUCUCUUCUUCAAGUAGCCUCAUUCUAACCCACUGCAACUUUAGGGAUAUGAGAAUUGUAAUUUCAAUCUACUCCGUUGCAACCUCAGAGAGAUGAGAUUUGUAGCUUUAAUCUGCUUCACUGCAACUUCAAGGAGAUAAGAUUUGCUAUCUUCAAUCUGCUCUACUACCACUUCAGGGAAAUAAGAUUUGUAGUUGUAAUCUGCUCCACUGCAACUUCAGGGAGAUAAGAUUUGCUAUCUUCAAUCUGCUCCACAGCCACUUCAGGGAAAUAAGAUUUGUAGUUCUAAUCUGCUCCAUUACAACUUCAGGGAGAUAAGAUUUAUAGCUUUAAUCUACUCCACUGCAACUUCAGAGAGAUAAGAUUUAUGGUUUUAAUCUGCUCUACUACAACUUCAGAGAGAUAAGAUUUGCUAUCUUCAAUAUGCUCCACUGCAACUUUAGGGAGAUAAGAUUUGUGGCUUUAAUCUACUUUAUUGCAACUUCAGAGAGAUAAGAUUUGAUAUCUUUAAUCUGCUCUACUGCAACUUCAAGGAUAUAAGAUUUGCUAUCUUCAAUCUGCUCCACUGUGACUUCAGGAAGAUAAGAUUUGCUAUCUUCAAUCUACUCUACUACGACUUCAGGGAGAAAAGAUUUGCUAUAUUCAAUCUGCUCCACUGUGACUUCAGGGAGAUAAGAUUUGUGGUUUUAAUCUGCUCCACUACAACUUCAGAGAGAUAGGAUUUGUGGCUUUAAUCUGCUCCACCGCAACUUUAGGGAGAUAAUAUUUGCCACAAUAACUUUAAUCCAUCCCAAUGCAACUUCAGGGGUAUAGAAUUUGUGGUUCCACUAAUCUAUUACACCGUUCUCUAGGGAAUAUGACCUUUAAAACCCAUUUCAUGGGCCUAUAUUUAUGCAAAGCGAUUAGGAUACUAUGAUCAAAAUGAAUCAAAUGCUCCUAACUAGAUGUGUAUGAAUGAUAUUUGCAUGAAUGCAUAAUGUCAUUUUUUGAGAAUGAUCCCCUUUUAAUGCUUAGGUUGACAUUGCUCGUUGUUCAUCAAGGUUCUAUUACUAGCAUAUUACCUUGCUUCUUGUUUAGUUGGUAUCUUUGACAGAAAACUCGAAAAAAUAAUCACAAUUUAGGGUCCGUUUAAUUGCCAGUAAAAUGUUUUCCGUAAAAUGAUUUUUGGAAAAUGUUUUACUUUUCUGUAAAAUGAUUUACUAGAAAAUAUUUUCUGGUGUUUGAUUGAAUCUGUGUAAAAUAUUUUUUGCUGUUUGAUAGAUUUCCUGAAAAUAUUUUCGGAAAAGUUGUUUUUACAUAUAUUAAUAUAUAUUAAUAAAUUUUUAUAUUUUAAAUUGUUUUUACAUAUAUUGGAAUGAUUUAUUUAUAAUAAUACUCAAUUAUUAAGCUACAAUAUUAAUCGUUAUAAAUUGAAAAAAAACUAAUAUCAAAUAAAUUAUUUAUAAUUGUGUUAAAAAAACAAGUAUUGAAUAAUUAUAAAUUGCUUCGAAACCACAACGAAUACUAGAAAUAAUAUUAUCCAAAUACAUAAUUAGUAGUACACCACAUAGUAACAACAUUGUCCAAGUGCAUAAUAUUACACCACAUAAAAGUAUCAAUAUCUUCAACCAUGAGAAAAUUUUUGAAGCCAAAUUUUUCUAUGCUUCUUACUUUUAACUAAAAAAGCUUUGGUUAAUACAAUACUUCAAUAUAUUUGAUAAGCAUAUGAAAAUGAAAGCAUGACAAAUUAGUUUUCUUGUAGGAAAUUGCAAUUACUGCAAGAUUUUGUUAUAUAUUAUUAGGAUUUCAAUAUCAUGUAUAAUUAAUUAAUUAAUCCCUCAUUAUAUAUUUAAUCAAGAAUUUGAAUGGAAAAUUUGAAUGAAAUUCAUUUAAAAAUCAAUAUAUUAUUAGGUGUAAUACUUUAAUAUUUAACAUAUUAUUUAUAAAAAAUAUACAUUAACAGUAAAUAUUAUUUUUUAUUGCAAAAACAUUAUUAAAAAUGGUGAUGCCUCUUUUUUAAAAUAUAAAAAAUUAAAUUAUAAAUUGCUAUCAAGUGUGUUUUCUUUUUUUAUUUCGAAAUUUUAAACAAAAAAAAAGGAAAAAUGUUAUAAAAAUUUUUUAUUUCUAUUUUUUAUAAUUUUUUAAAUUAAAAAUUGAUUAAUUUUUAUAAAAAAAAUAAUGUUUAAGUGCACUGCUAUAAUUGCCAUAAUCUCAAAUGUCCAACAUAAGUUUGUUUGCUCUAUUUUCAGCAUGAAAAAAGCAUUCAAAUGUUUAUAACAAUAUCAACGAAAACAACAAUCCAAGACCUUUUUAAUGUGCGUAAAACAUCUGAUUAACUGAAACCAAACUUUAGCAUUCAAAUGUUUAAUGAAUAUUCUCAAAAAACUGAAACAGAUUGAACAAAGGAAGUUGGCAAAAGCCAUGUGGGGAUGGCAAACUCAAAUUCCAGAUAUCGAAUGAACAUUCUGAUGAAACACAAGCGAAAGAGCUCAUUCUGAUGAAAUAGAGGCAUUGAUGUUACUUAAGGACCUUCCUUUGUAGUCAAACAUGCUAGAUAUCAAAUGAACAUUCAUCACCCCUUUUCUCUAGCAUCAAAUACUAACAGAUCAUUAAGUGCUAACAAAUACUAACAGAUCAGUAAAUGCUAACCAGAGAAAGGCACAUAUGCCAAUUCAUACAUUAAUCAUACAUUGCUCACUUUACAAUCAGUUCACAUUCGGAUGCUAAAUCAUGCCAAAAUUACCAAAAUUCAUGACAUAGGCACAUAUGUAUUUACCUACCAUCAACCAAAUAUAACAGUUCAUCACUGCCAUUUUGCAAAUAAUUCAACAAAGAUCUUAUCACUGUUUCGUUUUUCCUUACAAUUUCAAGGAUUUGAAGGAUCAUAAUCUCGUAUGAUGAAACUCAAUUUGAAUGAAUAAAUGAAUCGAUCAACAGCUUAUGUUUAGGAAUUUUCAAUUUCGAAGCAGUUUACUAUGGAUAAGAACAGAAGUCACAUUGGACCAAAAGUAAAAUCCUACGUUCGAAAUUCAAAGUUCAAACCGUCAAACAAUGACUAGACCUAAAUUAACAAUUAGGCAUCAAAGCAAAACUUCAAACGUUGAAUUGAAGGUCACACAAUACUGUAAAGGUAGGGGGUUGCUAUGCUAAAAUUCAAAUCGAAACUCUAAAUAUUGUCGACUUUAUAGUCAAAUUACAAAGAUAAAAGAUGGGUUUCGUACAAAAUUAACCAUGAAAAUGGCUUGAAGCAUUCAUGAAUCAUGAGACCAUUACCAGGAAGUAAAGCACCAAAAUUAAGCAUUCAGCAAAAGACAGCUUACUAUAAAUGGCUAAAGCAUCCGUUAAGAGACCUUACUCUAAGUCUGAAAACCAACACAAAACAAGGGUUCUUUUACUUUUAUUCAGAAACUUCCUAGUUCACAUACAGAGUUUGCUCCUAGGCCAUUGCAUCUCCAUUCAAUGUAUUAUUCCGCUAAUAAAGAAAAACCACAAAAACAUUCUUUCCACAACCAACUGGGAAAAGAAAAGUAAAAUAGGUUCAAUUAUAUAUUCCCAUUCAACAGGAUACAACAUAUAUACUCAUUCUCUACACAGAACAUUAUGUAUAAAGAGGGCAGAAUAUAAAUCAACAACAAAGAUGAAAACAUUAUAUUUACAAAAGAUUACUAGAGAUAAUACAACCAUAAAGAUCAAUCCUUUUUCCAGAAAACAUUAUAUCGAACAUUAUAUCGAACACACAAACGGCCACAGAAAUAUUACUUUGAUUACAAAGCCCAUUAAUCAAAGUUGAAAAAAUUACAACAUCAGGCUCAACACCUAACUUCAGCAUUUUCCCCAAAACAGAAAACCCAAAAUCAAUUCGACCUAAUUGACAAAAGCAAUUAAUCAAGAUGCUCACAGAAUAAACAUCAUGGGAAACACCUAAUAAUUCCAUCUGGCUACACAUAGAAACAACAAUGGCAUAAUGUUUAAUUCUAACAAUGGCUGCAAACAAUUUAGUAAAUUCCACAAUUGAAGGCUUUGGGUACUUUUCAAUCAUCUUAUUGAACAAACUCAAAGCAUGAUCAACAUUAUCGAAGCGGUGGUCUGUUUUUCCCUUUCCUCUAACAGGCAUGGACAUGGGUUUCUUACUUAGGCAGUCGAAAAGAGUAGAAAUUAGAAAGAUGGCUUCCAACAUUAACAACCAAACGAAGAAUAAAAGAAUAAGGAAGCCUACCUAUCAUUUAAAAGCAGAAAUGGCAGCGGCAGUAGCAGCCAAAAAGAAAUGAAAAAUAAACGGAGCAUAAAAGCCAAAAAGAAAUGAAAAAUAAACGAAGUAACAGUCGAAAAAUAGAAUUGCAACGUACCAACAGCGGUUUCCAGUUCUGAACCAAAAUGAAGCUUUCAAGAACGAAAAUUUGAAGGAAUGAAGGAAGGGAGAAUAAUGGAUGAAGGGAGAAGAAUGCCUGUGAGCUUUAGGAAAAUGUCUUACGGAGAUUGAAUCGGUAAGAUAAUUUCCCAAAAAUUGUAAGGCAUUUUCCCAUGUUUUGGAGUUGAUUUUCCAAAAGGAAAAUAUUUUCCUUCAAUCAAACACUGGAAAAUGGGGAAAACCAAUUCUGGAAAAUAUUUUCCCCUAUCAAAUAGACCCUUAAACUAUUUGUUUCCAAACAUUUCCAACUUUCAGAUUUGGUCGGUUCUGACUAGUGGUCCUGUUUCAAGUCAUUGUAUUAUUUAGAAAAUCUUUCAGAGCAAUAUGCAGAAAUCCUUUUACUUGAAUAUUAUUAGUCCAUUAAUCAUUAUUUCAAUGAAAAAUGCUUGAAAAUGAUCGUAACAAUGGACAAGAUUGAAAUUUAUUGGGAGUAGAGCUUGAAAUGAAUAGUUAAUCAAAAAUACCAAACAUUACUAAGAUACAAAAUGAGUAAGAGUAAAAUAGAUGCCCUACAUAUCGUAGCAUGAGCUUUUCCGCACUAGCUUUACGAUGACCUUUUUUAAGUCUGAUAUGUGUUUAGGAGAUCCAUAGUACAGUGUUGAUGCCCUAAUAUAUAACGUUUUUCCUUCUGAAAAAACUCGACCAUCACAUGUUCAAUCUUCAAUCCAAAUUUGAGUUGCCUCUUUUCUUGGGUUUUCAACUCAAAAACCCCUUUGGUUUCAAUGUGCCAUUUGCUGGUUUUCGCCUUGGCCUCUCCCCAUUUUUUUAGGUGAAGUAUUUCUUGACUGAAUCAAAAUUUACAAGAUUAGGAAGGCUUUUGCCAUCCAUCUCAGUCAAAAUUAAUGCUCCUCUAGAAAAUGCCUUCUUUACCACAUAAGGUUAUUCCCAAUUUGGCAUCCACUUUUCUAUGAAAUCCUUUUAUAUGGGAAGGAUCUUUUUUAAUACCAGGUCCCCCUCAUAGAAUUCUCUAGGGUGAACCUUUUUGUCAUAAGCUCGCAUCUUUCAUUUUUGGUACAUCUAACUAUGAAGGAUUACUUUUAACCUCUUUUUUUUCAAUCAAAUUCAGUUGAUUAUAUCGAGAUUGGAUCUAUUUUGGUUCAUAUAACUUCAACUCUAACAAAACUUGGAGAGAAGGAAUCUUGACUUCAAUGGGCAAAAUCACAUUUAUUCCAUAAACUAAUGAGAAAGGCGUUGCCCCAGUGAAGGUCCUGCCAAGCGUUCGAUAAGCUUAGAGGGCAAAAGGUAACUUCUCAGGCCAAUAUUUAUAAGUCUCAGUCAUUUUCCCUACGAUUUUUUUAAUGUUCUUUUUGGCUGCCUUCACCGCACUAUUCAUUUUUGGGCGAUAUGUAAUGAGUUGUGGUGUUUGAUCUUGAAUUAACUAUAGACAUUUGUUAUUGUGCUGUUGUUCAAGUUCAAUGAAUUGUCAGAUAUAAUUAUUUCUAGCAUAUUAUAUUGACAUAUGAUCUCUUUCUUCAAGAAUUUGCUGACUGCUGACUUCGCGACAUUGGCGUAAAAAGUGGCUUCUACCCACUUGGUGAAGUAAUCAAUGACCACAAAGAUGAAUUAAUGUCCGCUGAAAGCUUUUGGAAAGGUCGACCCAAUGACAUCCAUGCCCCACAUAGAGAAAGGCCAUGGAGAAGUCAUAACAUGAAGAGGUGAAGGAGGCACAUAAAUUUUGUCUCCAUAAAUUUGGCACUUAUAACAUCUCUUGACAUAACUGAUACAAUAUCCUUUUAUGGUGGACCAAUAAUACCUGAAUCACAUUAUUUGCCUGGAUAUUGUAAAACCAUUAGCAUGUGUUCCGUAGACACCCUCAUGGACUUCUUCUAAGAUUUUCUUAUCAUCAACAGUGUCCACACAUCUUAGUAGCACCUGAUCUUUUCUUCUUUUAUAUAAGAUCUCCUCAUCUAAGACAUAGUCAUUGGCCAGUCUUCUCAACGUCUUUUUAUCAUUUUCAAUUGUUUGAUUGGGGUAUUCAUGGUUCUUUAUAUAUCGCAGUAUAUCGUGGUACCAAGGGUAAUCAUCCUUUUCUUCUUCUUCUAUGUUGUAACAAUGAGCCAGAGCCUCAUAAAUACUCAUAUGGAUAGGUUUUACAUCCUCUUGUUUGUUCACUUUGAUCAUAGAAACUAAAGUAGCUAGGGCAUCAGCCAUCUGAUUUUCAUCUCGCGGGAGGUAGCAAAAAGUGAUGCCAUCAAACUCCUCAAUUAACUCAAGAAUCAAUCUGCGAUAACUGAUCAAUUUGGGCUCUCUCCUCUCCUAUUCACCUUUGAGUUGAUAGAUCACGAGUGCAGGAUCCCCAUAUACAUUUAGUAUUUUGAUAUUGCGUUCUAUGGCUGCAUGGAUACCCAUGAUGCAUACUUCGUAUUAUGCCAUAUUGUUUGUGCAAUCAAAAUCCAAUUUACUAGUAAACGGAUAAUGAUCUCCGUUUGGGGAUACCAAGACUACCCCGAUUUUGUUACCUAUAACAUUUGAAGCUCUGUCAAAAUUUAGCUUCCAAGGAUGUUUGUCUUGAGAAUCUUCUUCGGUGGUUACAACAUACAUAAGAUUUUCAUUUGGGAAAUCAAAGUUCAAAGGCUCGUAAUCUUAUAAGGCUCUACUGGCUCGAAAAUCUCUUAUUGCACUCCCUUUCAUUACCUUCUAGUUCACAUAAGUUGUAUCAAAUUUAGAAAGCAGAAUUUGCCAUUGGGUCGUUCUGCCAUUUAAAGCAGUUGACUCCAUCAUGUACUUUAGAGGGUCCAUUUUUGAGAUGAGCCAAGUUGUGUGGUACAACAUGUACUGUCUCAGUCUUCGGGUUGUCUAGAUUAAGGUGCAACACAACUUCUCAAUUGGCGAGUAUCGUGUCUCACAUUCAGUGAACUUCUUACUAAGGUAGUAUAUCGCUUUUCUUUCCUUAUUGACUCUUCAUGUUGGCCAAUCACACAUCCCAUAAAAUUCUCAAAUAUGACCAAAUACAGUAUCAGUAGCUUAUUUAGACUAGGUGGCAUCAGUAUUGGAGCAUUGGACAAGUAAUGUUUGACAUUGUCGAAAGUCUUUUGGCAUUUUUUAUCCCAUACACCUGGACUAAGUUUCUUAAGGAGACGAAAUAUAGAGUCACAUUUCUCAGUUAAUUGUUAAAUGAACCGGGCGAUGUAAUUUAAUCUCCCUAAGAAACCUCAGACUUCCUUUUGAGUGCGCGACAGAGGCAACUCCUAUAUAGCCUUGGCUUUAUCUGGGUCAAUUUUAAUCCCCUUUUCGCAGACUAUAAAACCUAACAAUUUUCCCGAUCUAGCCCUGAAGGUACAUUUUGUUGAUUGAAUUUUAGCUGAAAUUUUCUCAACCUCAAGAAUAAUUUCCUCAAGACUUGUAAGUGCUCCUUUUCUGUUUAGGAUUUUACAAUCAUAUCGUCAACGUAAACGUCGAUUUCUUUGUGCAUCAUAUCAUGAAAUAGGGUUACCAUGGCUCUUUAAUAUGUCGCUAUUGCAUUUUUUUGUCUGAAUGGCAUCACUUUAUAGCAAAAGGUUCCCUACAUAGUUACGAAUGUGGUAUUUUCCAUAUCUUCAGAGUGCAUCUUUAUAUGGUUGUAACUGGAGAAGCCAUCCAUAAAGGAGAAUAGUGAAUAACCUGCCGUGUUGUCCACUAAGGUAUGAUAUGAGGCAACAAAAAAUUAUCUUUUGGGUUAGCCUUGUUUAAAUCCUUGUAGUCUACACAGAUUCGUAAUUUCCUAUCUUUCUUAGGGAUGAGGACUAUAUUGGCUACCCACUCCGAGUAUUUAACCACUUGUAGGAAACCAACGUCAAAUUGGUUCUUGACCUAUUCUUUUAUUUUUAACAAGAUGUCAAGCGUCAUCCUUCGAAGUUUCUAUUGAACCGACUUGCAUUCUACUUUUAAAAGAAACCGGUGUACCACGAUAUCAGUACUUAGACCAGGCAUGUCUUGAUACGACUAUGCGAAGACAUCUUUGAAUUCUUGGAGUAACUCAAUGAGGUAUUGCUUUGUCUCUGCAGUGAUGCAAGCUCCGAUCUUUACUUCUUUCAUUUCUUGUCCGUCUCCUAAGUUCACAAUUUUUAUUGACUCUUUGUGAGGUAGAAUUUGUUUCUCCUCUUGUUCUACCAUCCUUAACAAAUCAGGGGAUAGGUUACAAUCUCGAUCAUCUUCAAAGUCUUGAGGUUCCUCUAAACACAUAUCUUGCUCAAAAGGAGAUUCUGAGUCAGUAGCAGUGUCAUUCAUAUCAUUGAUAUCUGGAAACCUGUUAUAGGAAUGAAUGAAGACCUGAAGAAUAAAUGAAUCUAAGAGUAAUUAUUUGUGUGGUAUAAGUAUGAAUGAAAUGGAAAGAAUAAAAGAUUGUUUGCAAGAAUGAGACACAAAGAUGCAUUUUAUUAAAAUAAAAAUAAUAGACAUAUGUCUUUUUCACAAAAGGAUUCUUAUUGCUCCCUAGCUUAGAACAAUAAAUGUGUUUUGAAUAUUACUCUGAAUUAGUUCUAAAAAUUACAGGGAUCUUAGUAUGAAUAAUUUUCUAUUGAUUUAUAAAAAUAUAAAAGACAAAAACAUACUCAAAUAAUCAUAUAACUUACUUUGAAAAUAAAAUGGAUUUUUGGCGAUUCCCUAAGUGAGUUGGAAUCCAAUUAAUGAGUGACACCAACUCAAUAAAAAGCUUAAUAAAUAGUGUCGAUAAAUUACAUCAUCUAUCUCUCAACUUUGAGUAAACUUUUGUUUUGAUCGCUUAACUAAAAAAUAUUACAAUUUAAUUAUAGACUUUUUUUUUUUGCUUUCUUCUACUUUUCUUGAGCUAAAAGACUAAUGGUGAAACUUUUUAAAUUGGUAUAAUAAUAAUUUUAAGCUGAAUUUUAACCCUCUUCUUUUAUUCUUUCUAAACACAAUUGAUUUGCUUGGAAGUGACAUGAUAGUUUAUUUAUUACAUAAUUAUCCCAUGGCUAUUGCACAAAAGAUAACCCAAGAAAGUUUUUAUAUUAAAAUAGGCUCAUUUGACCUAUAAGAAUUCGCUCAAUUUGAAGAACAAGUGACGAAGUCUACAAAAUAUUUUGAUUUUAAUUUAUAAUUUAGUAUUCCAUUUUUUUCCAAUUAAGUAGUUAUAUUUUAUUUCCAUUACACAUCAACAUUUGAAAAUUAAAAAAUAAAUAUAAAAUUUCCAUAAAACAGUAUAGAGUAAACUACACUCAACUCAACUAAUUAUGGGUGAUUGUUUUUGGUCAACCAAUUAUGAAUUUGUUUAAUUUUUGAUCAUCCAAUUAUAAUUUUUUUAAUCUGGUCACUCAAUUAAUUGAGACAGUAUUUUUUUUGUCCAUUUCCAUUAAUUGCACUAAUAGGAGGGUGUGAAAAAUAAAUAUAAUAAUAAAUUUAGCCCUCAACUUUUACAUUAUAUCGAUUUAAUCACAAUUUUUGAAAAAUAGCCUUCAAAAUUUACAAAUAGUCUUGAUUUGAUUCUAAUUUUUUUAAAAAAAAAUUAAAGGAAUAUAUAGAAAUACAUAAAUAUUUUCAAAAAGUAUAAUAAUAAAUUUAAAUUUGUAUAAUAAUAUUGAUAUUAAAUAAAAAUAACUAUAUUAAUAUUAAAUAAAAAUACAUAAAUAUUUUCAACUUAUUUAAUAUAGAAUUUUUUAUUUUUAAAAAAUAAUUUUAUAAAGAAUUAGGGUUAAAUUGACAUAAAAUUUAAAAGUUGAGGACUGAAAUUGUUAACUACAAAAGUGUCACUUUUAGCCAUUGAAUGGUUGGGUGAAAAAAAAACAAUUUGAAAAUGUCAGUGGCCAAAUUGUAACUUUUUAAAUUAAAUGAGACAUAAUUGAGGGACUAAUAGUGUAAUUUAUCCUUUGCUUUAAAGAUAUGGAUUAGUUCACAUUUUUUUGGGUUAAUGUGUUAUUAAAAGAUUAAAAUCCAAAUAUCAUUUUUCUUCUUUUCUUUCCCGUGACUGGUUCCGCUUUUAUCGUCAGGCAUCUUUGGUUUUUUUCCUUUUUGCUUUUCUAGUGCUUUUCUUCUGAUCGGCGAUCACCGCCGCCGCCAGCACCACCACCACUUCUUCUUUUUUUUUUGGUGAAAUCUUCUUUUUCUUUUUCUUUCAAAAGCCAAUAGCAGUGUCAGAAGGAUCGGACACAUAUCAUGUGUCCUUACCCGCGUUGCGACAGAAUUUUUUUCAUAUGUUUGAAAGAUCAGCACAGGUAUUUAUGUUUAAUACGCAUCACAAAACCUUGAGUUAUUUCUGCAAGACCUAGAGAACAAAAAUGGUGAAACUUGAAGGUAGCUUAGAAGAACCCAAAAGCAAUAAACGAAAGCUAGACAAAAGGUAGCUUAGAAAUGCCUUCAUUUCUUCUAAUGCUGGGGAGAGUGCAUAUUUGCUGGGAAAAUCACCAAAGAGUUUAGUGGAGUAUUAAGCUUGUUGCUUAACGGUACUUCCAACAUUGGGUUGAGGGAGACCAAUUGUUUUGCAAACACAAUGGCUAUGGAUGGGAUGGAAAGGAGGGGUGCUCGUCCGGUUAACCGAUCCCGAAAUAGCUAUAAACUUUUCAAAAUUUUUAACUGUUAAUCGAAUCGAAAUUUUUUUUGGUUAAUUCAGUCGAUUAAUUGAAUUAACCAAAAAUUAUAUUUUUUUAUUUUUGGUUAAAAAAAUAUUCGAAUUAUCUAAAUUACCUGAAUUAACCGAACACAAAUUCAUGUACUACUUUCAGAAAACCUCAAUGUGCCUUGCACUUGCAUUACCCCAAAAAAGAAAUGGUAAAAUUAUAAUAGAGAAGAAGCCAAGAGGGGUUUAUUAUAUUUCUCAAAGAAGAAAAGAAUGAAAAAACAAAUAUUUAGAGUUUUCCAUUGGAGAAAGAUUGACCAAAACUGAAGGGGAAACAUGAUGCAGCUCCAAUCAGAAAGAUACGUUAAGGCAGGAAUGUACACUUAAAGACAUUGGCAGCAUUGAAAAAGAACAGUUUAGGCACCAGUCUUGGAGACUAAUGGAGUUCCUCUGUGCAAUUCCCAUUCGUGUGUUAACUAAGAAAAACAUAAAUAGCUUAGGCUAUCUUAUUCUAUGUUUGUAUCACACAAAUUCUCUUCUUUAUAUUAUUUGUUUCAGAGGGUACUUGUCUUCUUCCAUACCACCAGUGAUUUGAGGAACUCCAUAACCUUCAAAACCCUUAAUUGAAGAAUACAUAAAAUAUCUUCACAUACUUUGCUUUGUAGAAUACAUCUCAGAUUUCCCAUAAUUGAAGACAUGCAAGGUUUCAAGGAAAUAUCUCACUUAAUAUGUAUUCACACACACAUAAAUAUAUAUAAUGUUUUCUUAGAGAAAACUAAAAACUGGGUAGGCAUUGUUCACCCUUGUGUAAUCUAAGCUGAGAUGGAAAAAAGCUGUUCAAAUGAAAAGCAAGUUAUAAAAGAGAAGUAAGCUUAAAACACAGAGUUGAAAACAGUGUUCCAAGUUAAGUCCCAAGUACAUGAGCAGCUAAAAAUUUUGCACACCUCCAUUGGAAAGCUCAUGUACGCUUAAAGGUAGGUGAUUGUAAUAUACCGUUGGUGUCUUUAUUUUUUAUGUUUUAGAGUUGCGCUAAAAUGAUAAGAUAGAAACUUAAUUAAGGGUUAUUUAAACAGAGUGUAAUACUUUAAUAACUUUUUUUAAUAUAUUAACCAUUGGUAUUCAUCUAAUAAGAAAGAAAUGACAUUCAGUUGAAGCUCACAAUGAAAAAUGGUUGUGUCAGUCUAUAUGGCUACCACUUUUCUACUACUUUUAAUAAAGUUCAUAUUUAUUUCUAGACAAGCAUAUCUUAUACAUGUGCGGAGGAUAAGUUAUUGCUACCAAUUACUUCAUUUACUGCUCCAUUAAUUUUCCUAUUCAGAAAGCUCUACUAGAGCAGUGACUUGAUCAUUCCACCAUCUUCAAAUAUGUUUCCGCCACUCUAUAUCACUACCAAUUGGCCAUGCAGUUUCUUGAGCUGUAGCAGAUUCUUCCACUAUAAUUUCAUCAACUGAUUGGCUUGCCUGCAAAGCAAAUUAAACCUUCACUUAUUACUGUUUGCUUUUGAUGAUUGGUGAUGAGGAAAACAAAGCCAGUUUUCCAAAAUUGGACAAAGGAUGACAUAUUAAGAACAAGAAGUGUGAAUUGAAAAUAAUAAUGCGACAAUGAUAUCUAGAAAGAAAUAUUGACAGCCAACAGAAACCGAUUACAGUUGAUGCAAUUUCAUUUAGUCAUUUAAAGCAUUUAAAAAAAAAAUCUCUCAGGCAACCAAAAUAAAAAUAUUGCAUUAAUGCAUAGAAAUUAAAGCUUAGUAUUGGGCGAAUACAUAGAGAAAAUAAUUGAAUGGAUGAAUUUCUGUUUUAAAGCUUAUUGUUGAGUUUGGAAGAGUAGUGUACCUGUGUUUUGGCAUGCACUGAUUUCUCUGAAUCAACACUAAAUCUUGUGGUUAUGUUGGGACAACCUUCUACUCGUAAAUCCGUCAAAGAUGGGAAAACAAAAUGAUAACUCAUAGGGCCGAAGCUCACGAGGUUUGAUAGGUCAUCAAGCUGUAAGUAGGUUAAUCGAUAUAGGUGCAUCACUUUCUCUUCGUCCUUACUCACAUUUGACUCAUCUCCUUCAAACACCUGCUCUAAUUUGGAGACCCUUAUAAGGUAUAAUCGAUCUAGGUUUGGAAGGCCACCAUGAGCAAGAGUAAUGGGGAAGAGACAUUUCAAGU
rnacentral:lncRNA from 1 species